rnacentral:lncRNA from 1 species
UGGAGCAGAAGGUUUGCGAUUCUUUAAAAAAUAUAUAUUUUUUUAAGUGUGAGAUUCCCAAUAUAGUAUUUCAAAGAGCGUACCCCGCCAAAUCAACAUCCCCCAGGAGGCAGACUUAAAAAAAAAUAGCGCGCCCCGCCCACACAUCUGGGCGCCGGGCUCGCCCUGCCCCCCUCUGGCUUGCAGGGGAGGUGGGCUGGACAGGUGGGCCAGGUGAGGCAGUGGGCCUGGGUGUUCUGCGGGAAGUUGGCCGCGACGGCGUGGAGGAGGAGAGGCGGCAGGUGCGCGGAGUUGGAAGAUCCCGUAGUUUUGAACGAAUCUCUGCCUCGCCCUUCUUGUCCCCUCUCCAUCACCGCCCUGGCGUUGGGAGAGAAGGGGGAGGGGAGGAAAGGGAACCACCAAGCCAGAGGUGCGGUUAGACAACUGUCUUGUCCGGUAACUUUAAUUCCAACCUUCUCACCUCCUGAAAACCUGCUAUUUUACUGGUUAACGUUUUUUUGUUUUUGUUUUUUUAUUACCAUAGUGUGGGAAAAAAGAAGGUUCGGUUCUGUCUUGGAGUGUGUCAAAAUAGAGUUCCUAAGGCACAAUACAGAAUUUUUGAGUUUGUUUUGCAUAAACUUAUUUAGCCAAAGGAAAUACUCAGGCACCUCCAAAAAUGUACUUGAGCUAUUGCUAAAAUAUUUAGAAAACUUUUUAAGUCUUAUUUUCCUUUUUUUUCCCAAAAAGAAUGGAAAAAUGAAAGAUUUCAAGUUUUAAUGUAUUCUUGAAGGAUUGAGAGCCCUAGUUAAUACAAAAGACCUGCCAUACAGGUAGAAUCCAGUUUCAACAUACAUAUUAAGAAUCCAGUUUUAUAUAGGAGGCGUUUUCCACAUCCUGGCUGGCCUCCCAGAGUAUGCCUACUUUGCUGAUGGGGAUACAAGGCAUUCUUUGAGAUGGGAAAUUCUUCAAACCACAUCUUUAUGUUGCAGUGAUGGAUAGGAUGAUGAUAAUAUUGAAAGAAAAAGACCUUAUUAAAGUACAGAACCUGUUGUUUUUUUUUAAAACCUGCAAAAAUAAAAAUGAGUAAUGUCAUAAUGGAAUAUAUAUCAUUAAAGUUAAAUUUCUUCACGUUAGUGACAGGAUCUGUCUGGAGUGUUUGAAUUGUUAUUUCAAAUUAGUAAACCUGCUUGCUUCCUCAAUUUCUUCUUUAACUGAAGAAAUCACUGCUGAACAUUUCUCUUUGUUUUUAUAAUCGUGAGAGUUUUUUUUCUUUUCUUUUUCCCUGCUGUAGAUCCUGUUCUGCUAAAGAGAAAGUUAACUUAGGUUUUUAUGGUACAAUAAAGACUAGGCAAUUUCUUAGCUGGUUGGGAAAGGUAGAGGUUAAUGAAUGUUCAGGCAAUGAAAUCUGCAGAAUUCUUCUAAUUCCUCUCUGGAAUCCUGAUGAUUUGCAAACAUUGUUGCUUCUGAACAGCUAGAGAAAAAGACCUUUCUUCAGUAAAGAUGUACAAUUAGUGAUUAAUGAGUCAUGAAAUGAGUGGUCUUACCUGCACUGUUGAGCCUUCCACUGGAAUUGUUUCCAGAGUUGGAAGAAACGACAUUAAAUCCAACCUUGAAUAUGUCUGGCUGAACUUGAUGCUGAAAGGAAAUGUGUUGGGGCAGAUACUCUUUCCUCUGACUUGCAACUGGUUGUUUCAACACUGAAAUCUUUCCUUGUUUGUUUUCUGGGCACAUUUAGAUAGUGUAUUCUUCCCACAUUAAGAAUGGCAUUUUGGGCCCACUUUGCUUUGCUUAAAUGCCCUGUGGUGCUGGGGGAGUUGGUGGGAGGAAGGAAAAUGAAGAAAAUAUAAAAUUUUAAGGUUUUAGGCAUCCCGUUCUGUCUGUAUGACAACACUAGUCAACAUGAUUGCUCCAAAGAAUCAAGUCAUUCACCUGCAUAUGAGACAAUUUGGAUGAAGCACUAAUUCUUACUUUGGACCUUGCCACUUUUUAUCAUCCCUAAACACCACCUUCCCCACUCCAACACACGUAGUCUUCCCCCUUCUCAGGCCCUAGUGAUUUGUUAAGGAAGAUGGAAAAGGUUCACAUUCAUUCUGUAAGGUAACAAUUACAUUAUGGUGCCUGAUUCAAUGAAGGCCAAUGGUAGAAAGAUUUCAGGGUUUUAGAAUUUUCUUGGAAGCAUUUCUGGACAGGUGAAAGAGAAUAUGGUAACAAAUAUAGUUCUUACUCAGACCAUUUGGGUAUCUUUUGUUAAACAUUCAUGCAAUGGUUUUGGUUACUCCUGAUUUGAUUUUAAACUGUAAAUACCUGUAUAAGUUAUUCAUUUAUCCAGUACAGCUUGUUGAGUUCCAGUUAAGUGCUAGGCUUAAGGUUGGGUUUUGGGGACAAAAAGACACAUCAUGGUUCUCUGUUCCCAGGGCUAUAAAACAGUGACAAUAAAGAAGACAAAAGGAAAUAUAAAAGGCAAAGGAAAAUGCUCUGUUUCUUUUUACUGCUUUUAUUGUUUUUUUCAUAUAAUACUUAUUUUAACUAAAGAAUAAGAUAAUGUUCUUCUCAUAAAACUCCUUUAAGUUGAAAUCACAAUAAAAUAAAUUUUCUUAAAAAUGGAAACAUCGCACACAUUUCAUGCUACAUUUCAAUAAAAACCUAAAGGACACUGGAAUGAAAUUUCUAAAAGGGUAGGUGAUUUUAUCUAUUAUGUUAUUUUAUUCAUUGCUGUUAUCUCCAAUGUCUAAAGCAGUAGCUGACACAUAGUAGUCAAUAAAUGUUUGUUGAAUAACUGAACAAAAUGGACAACAUGAAUUGCCUAGCAAAUGGAGUUUUUGUAUUUUUUUUUAUGUUCUUGGUAUGAAUUAUAUUUCCUAAUAGAAGUCUCUAAAAUGUGUGGUACAUCUACUUCUUACUAAAUAUAUAACAUUUCCAAUAAAGUUCUGAGAAUAGAGUAUGUUCAAAAGCAGUAUAUAAAUUGCAGUUUUGCUUUUAGAAUAUUACUAAAGUAAUUCACUUUAUGUUUCAAGCACAGAUUUAUUUUUUUAUAAUUUAGAAAGGGUAAAUCAGUAUACCAAGUUUUCAAUUUUAACUCCACUUGAGAUGUGACCUAAGGAAUAUAUCAAAUUAUUUGUCAUCUGUUAUUAAUGUAUGUUUAUUCCUAGGAACACCAUUUGGGAAUAUUAUCCCAGGUUUAAUUUAUUAUCUGUAAAGGCAAGGUAAUACAUAGUUCCUUCUGAUGGCUUAAACAAAUAUUACUAGUACAGUUUUAAAUUUUGAAACUAGAUUUUUAAACAUUGGAAGGCCUUUUCCCAGGUUAUGGUAGGUUUUGUUUUCACCGUAUAGAUAUGGAUUUAGGAGAAGCUUAUUUUACAGUUUUGUUUCUAAUUUAAACCAAUACUGUAGAAUGUGUCAUGGUGUACAACCAAAUAUGAUAUUAUUUAUUCUCUCAGAAAACCAAAUUUUCCCUCUUGAAUUUAAAAAUUGGAGUGAAAGAAUAAUAUUUUUUUAGACCUUCUGAAUGAGAGUUGAAAUUGAUAAGAAAAUAUAAUGUGUUCCAUUGAAAAUAGACAAUCAGUGCAUAUAAUACACCUUUAAAAACAAGACUGGUCAAUAUUAAAUGAACAGUGCUCCUUCUUUUUUCUUCUAAUGGCCCUCCNAAAGACUAGGCAAUUUCUUAGCUGGUUGGGAAAGGUAGAGGUUAAUGAAUGUUCAGGCAAUGGAAUCUGCAGAAUUCUUCUAAUUCCUCUCUGGAAUCCUGAUGAUUUGCAAACAUUGUUGCUUCUGAACAGCUAGAGAAAAAGACCUUUCUUCAGUAAAGAUGUACAAUUAGUGAUUAAUGAGUCAUGAAAUGAGUGGUCUUACCUGCACUGUUGAGCCUUCCACUGGAAUUGUUUCCAGAGUUGGAAGAAACGACAUUAAAUCCAACCUUGAAUAUGUCUGGCUGAACUUGAUGCUGAAAGGAAAUGUGUUGGGGCAGAUACUCUUUCCUCUGACUUGCAACUGGUUGUUUCAACACUGAAAUCUUUCCUUGUUUGUUUUCUGGGCACAUUUAGAUAGUGUAUUCUUCCCACAUUAAGAAUGGCAUUUUGGGCCCACUUUGCUUUGCUUAAAUGCCCUGUGGUGCUGGGGGAGUUGGUGGGAGGAAGGAAAAUGAAGAAAAUAUAAAAUUUUAAGGUUUUAGGCAUCCAGUUCUGUCUGUAUGACAACACUAGUCAACAUGAUUGCUCCAAAGAAUCAAGUCAUUCACCUGCAUAUGAGACAAUUUGGAUGAAGCACUAAUUCUUACUUUGGACCUUGCCACUUUUUAUCAUCCCUAAACACCACCUUCCCCACUCCAACACACGUAGUCUUCCCCCUUCUCAGGCCCUAGUGAUUUGUUAAGGAAGAUGGAAAAGGUUCACAUUCAUUCUGUAAGGUAACAAUUACAUUAUGGUGCCUGAUUCAAUGAAGGCCAAUGGUAGAAAGAUUUCAGGGUUUUAGAAUUUUCUUGGAAGCAUUUCUGGACAGGUGAAAGAGAAUAUGGUAACAAAUAUAGUUCUUACUCAGACCAUUUGGGUAUCUUUUGUUAAACAUUCAUGCAAUGGUUUUGGUUACUCCUGAUUUGAUUUUAAACUGUAAAUACCUGUAUAAGUUAUUCAUUUAUCCAGUACAGCUUGUUGAGUUCCAGUUAAGUGCUAGGCUUAAGGUUGGGUUUUGGGGACAAAAAGACACAUCAUGGUUCUCUGUUCCUAGGGCUAUAAAACAGUGACAAUAAAGAAGACAAAAGGAAAUAUAAAAGGCAAAGGAAAAUGCUCUGUUUCUUUUUACUGCUUUUAUUGUUUUUUUCAUAUAAUACUUAUUUUAACUAAAGAAUAAGAUAAUGUUCUUCUCAUAAAACUCCUUUAAGUUGAAAUCACAAUAAAAUAAAUUUUCUUAAAAAUGGAAACAUCGCACACAUUUCAUGCUACAUUUCAAUAAAAACCUAAAGGACACUGGAAUGAAAUUUCUAAAAGGGUAGGUGAUUUUAUCUAUUAUGUUAUUUUAUUCAUUGCUGUUAUCUCCAAUGUCUAAAGCAGUAGCUGACACAUAGUAGUCAAUAAAUGUUUGUUGAAUAACUGAACAAAAUGGACAACAUGAAUUGCCUAGCAAAUGGAGUUUUUGUAUUUUUUUUUAUGUUCUUGGUAUGAAUUAUAUUUCCUAAUAGAAGUCUCUAAAAUGUGUGGUACAUCUACUUCUUACUAAAUAUAUAACAUUUCCAAUAAAGUUCUGAGAAUAGAGUAUGUUCAAAAGCAGUAUAUAAAUUGCAGUUUUGCUUUUAGAAUAUUACUAAAGUAAUUCACUUUAUGUUUCAAGCACAGAUUUAUUUUUUUAUAAUUUAGAAAGGGUAAAUCAGUAUACCAAGUUUUCAAUUUUAACUCCACUUGAGAUGUGACCUAAGGAAUAUAUCAAAUUAUUUGUCAUCUGUUAUUAAUGUAUGUUUAUUCCUAGGAACACCAUUUGGGAAUAUUAUCCCAGGUUUAAUUUAUUAUCUGUAAAGGCAAGGUAAUACAUAGUUCCUUCUGAUGGCUUAAACAAAUAUUACUAGUACAGUUUUAAAUUUUGAAACUAGAUUUUUAAACAUUGGAAGGCCUUUUCCCAGGUUAUGGUAGGUUUUGUUUUCACCGUAUAGAUAUGGAUUUAGGAGAAGCUUAUUUUACAGUUUUGUUUCUAAUUUAAACCAAUACUGUAGAAUGUGUCAUGGUGUACAACCAAAUAUGAUAUUAUUUAUUCUCUCAGAAAACCAAAUUUUCCCUCUUGAAUUUAAAAAUUGGAGUGAAAGAAUAAUAUUUUUUUAGACCUUCUGAAUGAGAGUUGAAAUUGAUAAGAAAAUAUAAUGUGUUCCAUUGAAAAUAGACAAUCAGUGCAUAUAAUACACCUUUAAAAACAAGACUGGUCAAUAUUAAAUGAACAGUGCUCCUUCUUUUUUCUUCUAAUGGCCCUCCCAAAGCAUGGGAAACAUGCUGAGAUGAUUCAAGAUAGAAAUGGAUGGUGGCAUUAAAUAGCACUAGAUCACAUACUGAGCAAGUUAUUCCCUUUUAAGUUCUGUUUCAAUCCUUCUAAAGGAAGAAAUAUAGUUGGUGCCAGUAUGUCUCUAAUCCCUCUAACACGUACUGAAUUCUUCUUUUUUAAAACAGGGAGAACAAGCUUCUGCUCAAGGCUUCAGUAUACAGCUAAAACUUAAUAGCUUUGUUUUCUUUGUUUUUGCUUUUAUGGUUUUCUUCUCUUGAAGCAAGCGAGAUUAAUUACAUACUUAGAAUAAUGAUAUCAAAAUAUCUUUUAAAUAGAUUUAUUUAAGUAAAAUAAACAUGAAUGUUUAAAAGAAAACUACUAAGGUGGGAAUGUAAAUUAGUAUAGCCAUUAUGCAAAACACUGUAAAAAUUUUUCAAAAAAUUAUAAAUGCAACAACAUAUGAUCUAGCAAUCCCACUACUGAGUAUAUAUUUGAAGGAAAUGAAAUCAGUAGAAGAGAGAUCUGUACUUCCACGUUUAUUGCAGCAUUAUUUUCAGCAGCCAUGAUAUAGAAUCAACUUAAAUGUCCAGUGGAUGGAUGGAUGGUAGAUGGGUAGAUAAAGAAAAUGUGGUCUAUAUACAAUAGAAUACUAUUCAGCCUUUUAAAAGAUCAAAAUCCUGUCAUUUGCAAAAAUAUGGAUGAACCUGUAGAACAUUAAGUGAAAUAAGCCAGGCACAGAAUGACAAAUACCACAUGAUUUUGCUCAUGUGGAAUCCAAAAGAUUUGAUCUUAUAGAAACGGAGAGUAGAAUGGUGGUUUAUAGGGACUGUGAUGUUUGGGGGUUGCGGGGUGAAAUGAUGUUGGUUAAAGGAUAUAAACUUUCAGUUAGGAAUAAGUCUGAUAUUCUCUUAUUUUGUAGUUUUAAGAUCAAGUUUGCACAACUUGAUGACUAUAAUUAACAUUAUAAUGUAUUCUUGAAAAACGAGUAGAUUUAGGGUUCUUGCUACAAAAAUGAUAACUAUGUGUGAUAAUACAUAUGUCAAUUAGCUAGAUUUGAUCAUUAUAUAAUGUAAACAUUGUACUUGAAACACAUACUGUUACCCCCAUCAUCAUCUCUAAUAGCUGUCAGGAAACUGAAAUACAGGCUACUGAAAUUCUGUCAAAGUCACAGGGGAGAGCCAGGGUAUAAGACCAAGCACUCUGUCCCAAAGCAUGUGUGUCAGCUAUUAUGCCAGUGGGUCCGAAAAUGUCAGUGCUGGAUGUUUCAGAAACACUGUCUCACAUUUUUCUCCUGUCUUUGAAGGUCCAGACGCACCUUACCUGGCACCAUGUCCCUCAAGAUGUUGUUUUCCUUAUUCCUAUUGCUACUAACUUUUGUGCCACAAGGAAGCUCAUAGUUAUUUAUGCAUCUUUAGUUGCUUCAUUGGUGUUCAGCUUCCUAAAUAUAGUGUAAAUCCUUUGGGAAGAACUAUGUUCUGUCUUAUACUCUUGAAUUCAGUGAACACAUAUUUAACAGAAUUUUUAAAGAAUUAUCAUUAAAAAUAUAUUAAUGAGUCAGGUGUGGUGGCACAUGCCUAUAAUCCCAGCACUCUUGGGAGGCUGAGGCAGGAGAAUCACGGGUUCAAAGUCAGCCUCAGCAACUUAGUGAGAUCCUGUCUCAAAAUAAAAUAUUAAAAAGGGUUGGGGAUGUGGCUCAGUGGGUAAGGGCCUCUGGGUUCAUUCCUAGUACCAAAAAAAAUGUAUAUAUGUAUAUGAUUAGUUCAUUUGCAAAAAUAAAUUCUUUCUAAAAAAAUAUUUACAUGUAGUGAAACUAAAAAGUUAAUAAGAAAAAUGUAGAAAGUAGUGGUUCUGACAUUUGAGUGAAAGUUUCACUGAGUAGCAUUAAUUUUUUACUUCAUAAAGAUUUCUUGCUUUAAAAUGCUUCGGUGAUUUAAAACAAAAGAAAGUAUAACUGAUUUAAAAGUUUCUUAGAGGAGAGAAUAACAUGGCUUAUGACCUACAAGCUCUAAGAUACAAUAUAAUUCUAUCACCACAUUCUUUUUUUAUUGCCUUAGAACAAUUCUGUACUUAACAAAUUUUCCACUCUGUGUGGUGGUGGCCCUACAAUUAACUGAGUCAUGUUAAAUAUUCAUAUUACCAGAAAUAUAAUUAAAAUUUCCCUCAUUUUGUAGUAUGAAGUUUAAACUUUGAAAUUGUAUUGUAGAUAAAAUAGAUUUUUAAGUGUAUAGAAAUUUUUAUAUCUUUUAACUGUAUGAAGAUUAAAAACAAAUUUCUUAGAGAUAAAUUAAUUGGAAUAUGUAAUAAUUAUUUCAAGAGCAAAGACUUUAAAAUAGCUGCACUUCUAAAAAAGUCAAGCAAAUUGUUAUACAUUGCAUUUUAUUACAGAUGCUGUACAAUUUUAGGAUAUAAAAAAUCAUAAAGUCCACCUAGUUCAAUCUUUUUAUUUUCAAAGUAUGUUUACUUUGCAGAAAUUCAAUGUGCAACUUGGUUAGUUUCCAGUAAUCAAUAUGUAAAUUGAUAAUUUUGAACUGAUAAUAUAGUCCUUAUUAGAAGAAGAAAAAGCAACAAAUGAAAUGGUAGAUUCCCAGGAGAACCACAGAUACUUAUAAAAUGAUGGAGGAAAUAGUCUAUUAUAAAUAGACUUUGGGGAAACUACAUAGGAUCUUAGAAGUCAUCUAACUUAGGAAUUUAUACUAAACACUGAUAAUAUGAAGAGCAUAAAAGUAUAAUAUUAGGCAAUAAGUACAACCAAAUAUUUAAUUGUCACAACAAAUUACACAAUAGUGACUAGGAGCACUUUUAAAGGACAAUGCACAUAUUCUACAAUAAGAGAUCUUAAACUACUGAAAUAAAGGAGUAUCAAACAUGAUUCUGUUCACAUACCAUUGUGAAGUUAUAUGAUUACAGUUUGAAUUAUACUGUUGUGCUUAUCCAAUUUGUACACCAUGACUCCCACUUGCCCAGGAUUGGCAACGGUAUGUAGUAGUAAAAAAUUUUAAGGACUCAGAUUUCUUCAUUUUCUAUCUAUUGCUAUAUUGCUUCAUUUCCUACUGUAACAACAAUCUCUCAUAAUGGCAAAAAGAGAGUUUUUUCCCAACUAGAAAUACAUUCAUGAAAUACAAUAUUACAGAUCACCUUGGUGUUGGUAAGGUUAGGGGCUUUUAACUGCUGAUAAAAAGUAACCAACCUUUAGAACAACAGUUUGGCAAAGCAAACAAGCAUUUCAAAGUGUUAAUAGGAUUUGACCAAACAUUCACUUCUAGGAUAUUAUACAAUUUAUAAACAUUAAAGAGAAUAUCUACCACACAUUAUUUAUAAAUUUUAAACAUGAAAACAUUCAAAAUAAUGAAUUGGUUAAACCAGUUAUAUCACAUCUAUCUGGUAGAAAAUAUUCAAUUAAUAUAAAUUGAUAUUAAAUAAUAUUAUAGGUAAAACUAGAAUAGAUCAAAAUAAGUCUAUAAUAUCUUUACCUAAAUAAACAUGGAAGGAAAUUCACCAAAUGUUAGCAGUUGUUUUCUCUGAGUGAUAGCAUUAUAGAUCAUUUUUGUUUUCUUCUUUAUAUUUUUUCAGUUUUUCAAAAUUUCAACAAUAAAUAUGCAUUACCUUCAAAAUGGGGAAACAUUAAAUGUUUACUUUAACAAAGAUCCUGCUUCAAAAGCAGUUCACAAUGAACUAAAAAUGAAAACAAAAUUGAGGCUGGGGUUGUAGCUUAGUGAUAUAGUGCUUGCCUAGCACAUGUGAGGCACUGGAUUCCAUCCUUAGCAAUAUAUAUAUAUAUAUAUAUAUAUAUAUAUAUAUAUAAUAUAAAGGUAUUAUGUUCAUCUACAAUUAAAAAAUAUUUUUUAAAAAAUUAUACUGUAUUUAUCCACAAUAUUGAAUAUUGAAGAGGAAAACAAACAUCAGGAGCUUAUCCAACAAGUGUGUGUUGAGUACUUAGUAUAUAUUCAACCUAUGUAACUACUUGUCUUAAAGAGUCUACCGUGUGUCAUAUACAUAUAUGUGUGUAUAUCGUGCUUGAACUGCUCUAAUCUGAUGCCAUAGUCUUUUUUUCCUGAUUCAUCAUUCAAGCAUGUAUCUGCUUGUAUUCCUUCUUGAGUAUCCUCCUACUCCAGGAACCUGUGCACUCCCAGGGUUGUUACAGUUCAUAAAAUGAUGUUCACUGGGUGUUUAUACCCAGUGACAGAAUUGGCCUCUAGGCAAGCUCCUGAUGCCUCUGUUUCUUGCCCUGUUUGGCUGCACCAAAGUGGAGCCUGUCUGUAAGCCACUGUGUUUCUUUAGGGGAAAACAGAGGAGCCCAUUUCCUCCAAAACUGCAGCUUGUAGGCUUAGCAUUCAUUUCACAAAUACAAACAUCUCCCACCCAAGAGUGCUGGCUCCAGCCCAACCCUGGUCAUCUCCAGACCCAAAGCCACUUCCCCCUAUCCCAGGAAUCAAACCCCAGUGAUGACUCUUUCAGACUUUCAUAAUAGAAAGGGUUUGAAUUUAUUGACUACUUGUUUAUAUAUUGUAGUUUUUAUAGUAUCUUUUGGGACUUUAAUGAAUUUCAAGAUUUUCCUCCUAUUUCUGUCCUUCCAACCUCUCAGUCUGCCCAACAGUGAGUUCAUUUGCGUCAAGGACUGUCGACACUGCUGCAAAGUUUCCCGUGGCUAGCUGCCCAGAUGCUUAUGAUCAGAUCCUCUGAGCACCCAGGCAGUUACACAAGGCCCCUCUGUGUGGCUCAUUGUCGCCCUCCACUCCUACUCACACAUACUAUGGAUGGGUAGGAGUUUUGAUGCUAGGGUCAAAGAAAUAGGCAGGUUACUGACUUAUAAGGUGGCAUUUCUCGGGCAAGAAUGGACACUCAGAGAAGCAGAUGCAGGCAGUGAACACAAUUACAGGCAAGAAAAGAUGAAAGAACUAGAAUAGUCCAUGCUGUCUAUACAGCACAGUGAUCUGACAACUGGGAGUCCUCUGGGCACGGAGGGGGAGGGCUCUGUGGUGCUGCCUGGAGCACUCCUACAUGCUUCCUCCUGCAGGGCUCUGGCAAAGCUCUGGGCAACAUUGCUAGCUCUUUCCUCCCCCUUCUACAGUGUUCCAUCCCUCUUCCUUCACUUGCUUUUACCUCUUUUUACAGGCACCUAGUGUGCUCCUGAUGUCUUGAGUUUGUUUCCUGACAAGGAAGAACAUGAUCUGAUCCAAAUAUACCUAGAGGUGUUAGGAUUGCAGUGUGAUUCUUUUCCAAAGACAUUUUUACCUGGAGAUUUCACUAGUUCGACAAUUAAGCAUUAGUUUGAGGGAGACACACUAAGCCUGUAUGCAUGCACAAGAGAAUUACAAAAGAAAAAAAUUAUCUGCCUUAAUUCCUGGUCUGGAAAGGGAAAUAAGCACAUAAAUGAGCAGUUGCACACAUUAAUGAUACUCAUUAAAAAAAAAAAAAGUAACGGUUCUUUGUUGGGUGGGGCAGAAGGGUGAAUAUCAUAAGGUCUUACAAGAGAGCCAUAAUUGAACAGCUCUUGAAGGAUGGAUUUAAUAGAAAGACUCAGGAAGUGCAGGCACUGCUUAGCAAGUACAGAAGCACAAAGGCAGUGAAACAGCAUAGCAGUGAAUUAAGGAGAUAAUUACAAAGUGAAACUUGACUGGUUCAAAAUGACUUGAGAAUACCAUAUUAAUGACUGUUGUAAAAAUGUGGAUGUGUAACCGAUGUGAUUCUGCAACUUGUAUUUGGGGUAAAAAAUGGGAGUUCAUAACCCACUUGAAUCAAAUGUAUGGAAGAUGAUAUGUCAUGAGCUUUGUAAUGUUUUGAACAACCAAUAAAAAAAAAUGACUUGAGAAUGAGAUGUGACGAGGGCAGAAGAUGAGGUUGCAAAGACCAAAGUAUUCAGGGACCUCAUCUGACACGCUAAGAGUGUGGACUUUAUGUUGUUGCUGUAAUUCUCAUCUUUUUGUUUUUUCCCCAUUUUUUUUUAGUUGUCAAUGGACCUUUAUUUUAUUCAUUUAUUUAUAUGUGGUGCUGAGAAUCAAACCCAGUGCCUAACAUGUGUGAGGCAAGCACUCUACCACUGAGCCACAAACCCAACCCCUGUAGUUCUCAUCUUCCGUGGGGCGGGAGUUGGGGGGUUGGGGGGUGGGAAGCAGCAUGCUGGGAGCAUCAGACAGGAGAGUACUGUUAAGGAAGAGGGAGGUGAAUGGAAGGGAAUUUUCUGACAUGCUAGCAAGGCUUUCCUUCUUAUUCUGGGCCAUAGUUAUGUGGAUGUUCACUUUGUAAUAAUGCACUGAAUUGCACAUUUAUGUUUUCUAUACUUGUUGUGUGCUGUACUUCUCAAUUGUUAGAAAAAACAAAGGAAACAUCAAGCUGGGUUAUCUGGUGAAAAUGAAGAUUUUAGGGCUUCACUUUCAGACUACUGAUUGAGAAAGCCUUCAGUGGAACUCAGGAAUCUUCAUUUUUUAAAACAAUUACCUUAAGGGAUCUGAAGCCAGCAGACUCCCUAGGCCACACCUUGAGGAUACUGUUAGGGUUUUUAGUGCUCCAAAAGAUGUAAACAAGAUGUUAUAAACAGAGAUUUGCCUGUCUAAAUGUGGCAGAGUAAAGGGAAAGGACGAAGUUGAGGAUGGCCUUCAUCUUACAGCCUACUAGUACUAGCAGGUCUGUGUCCCAUUCUUUUUUGUACUUUUGAAAAAGAUGAGGUGAAUAAUGUACUACUGACUUUUCAGUACUAAAUGUAUUUUUAGAAAUGUGUUUUCUCUUGGAGUUUUCUUAAAUAUGAACAGUUUUUUACCCUAGCACAUUAACUUCUAAUGGUCAAAUUUAAGCAUGGAAUAAGUCUCUAAAUAUUCUGGGGCAGGGAACAACUUUCUAGAAUUUUUUAAAUGAGUGCAUUUUCAGCCUGUGAGUAAUAGUAGUUCUGCUACUGAUCCACUAUCAUUAUGACAUGUUCUUAGUGAUGAUUGAUUUGCAUAGAUGGAGCUAAAUUAUUUUUCUGGUGCCUCUGUAUAAUCACAGGAUAUUUUUGUGACAUAAAGCAUCCAACAUGGUACUCUUCCAAACCCUAAUCCCUAUGAAAAAGUACGACAAAUUGUGUGCAGAGUUGUUUUUCCUCUAGUGAUGACAGUGUUGGAAGUAGAAAGGGGAAACCUUAUUUGGACUUAAAUAGAAGAUGAAAAAGUCCAAAAAUAUGACAUAAAUUUGCACAUUUUUUUCCUCAUAAUCAAAGUACUAAAGAUAUGCCAUAAGAUUUUUUUUCAGUUGCCACAAUUAUUACUUCUCUGUGAGCAAAGUGCUUCUAUUUAUCACAUCAGCAAAAAUUUUAAAGACUGACAUCAAAGUGUUGGCUAAGAUUAAGAACACUGGAACUCAUACUCCUGGUAAAAGUAUAAAUUGGUGAAAACACUUUGGAGUGCAAUUUGGCAAUAGUCAAGUUAAAGGUAUACAUACUCUUUGACUCAGACUGUAAUCCUGGAUAUAUUUUCUAGGAAGUUUUCUUGCCUGUGCCCAAGGAGAUAUAUACAAAAAUAUUCACAGCAACGUUGAUUACUCUGGUAAAAUAUCGGGAGUAACCUCUAUUAAAGCAACAGAAUUCAUGAAUAAAUUGUGAAAUAUAAAUGAAUACAGCCAUGAAAAUGAAUGAAGUAGAUCUAUGUAUCUACAUGGGAAAAUAUCACAAAUAUUACCUUAAUUUAAAAAAUCAACUUGCUGAUGAAUGUGUAGAAUAUAUUUACAUCAGCUUAAAACUUGUAAAUACUCUAAUUAUAUGGGAAACUACCUUGCUGCAAUGGUAGCCUGUAGCAUACUAACAGACAAGUUAUUCAAGAGAUCAUAGAACAGAAAGGCUCAUGGACCAAAACAAGAUAAAUCACAUGGCUAGUUAAAUCAAUCAGAGACUAUGGGAUAGGUUAACUCAUUGAAGAUCUGGUAUUGGCGGGAUAGAAAAAUGACUCUAUGUGAAUCCAUGGUCACAUCCCCCCAUCCAUCCCUCUUUCCCUCCCUCCCACAUCAGCCUACUUUAUUGAGGGUAUGCUCACAAGGACCAGAAUUGAGAUUUAAGCAAAGUAACCUAAUAGGCAGAAGGUGCUUGUGUCAAAACACGUGCUUGUGUCAAAACACACGCUUGCUCUAUAGUCCUCGGAGCAAGUGCACCUGACUGAUAGCUGGAGCUUAACAAUUAGCCUCAUGAGCAACCAUGGGUUUUAUUUACAUUCCUGUGCAGAAGAUUCAUUCCUCAUGUGAGGAACCCAUGGCUGGCCAAAUUAAGACCUUUAAAAUAGCGAAUAUUUCCUUUGCCUUAAGUAUCUUCAGUGCAUCAUGAAAAUUUGAUGAUUCAGGUCUUGUGUAUAUUUAGUGUAUCAUGACUAUUAGAUGUUCCUUGUGCUUUCCAUUUCUUUCUUCUUAUGUUCCUUAUACAAAUGCUCCACUCUAUAUAUGUCUAAUAUGUCCCACAGGUUACUAACUUGUUCUCAUUUAACAUAUUUUACAAAUUUUGCCUGUCUUUGUAUGCCACUUUCUUGGAUUCUUAGUUUCAUUUUUCUCCCUGUGUUAAUUUCUCUGAUUUUCUAUAGCAGAAUUGAAUAUUCUUAAAUAACUCAGCAAAAAUACAUUAUAAAUAAGUUAUAGUUUGGAUAUGUAGUAUUCCCCAGAGACUCAUGUGUUGAAGGCUUUGUCACCCACAGUGUACAGAGGUGGGGCUUUUAGGAAAUGAUUGCAUCAUGAGGGCUGUACCUUCACCAGUGAUUUAAUUCACUUUUUGAAUUAAUAAUUUGAAUGGACUAUUGGAACAUGGUAGAAACUAUACAGGGUCUGGCUUAGUUGAAGGGAGUGAGUCAAGAGUAUGUCCCCAAGGACUCACUUCUUUGCUUUCCAGCUGCCUUCAAGUGAACAUAAUUCUUCUGCCACAGUCUUCUACCUUGACUUCUGUCUUGCCUCAGGCCCAUAGCAAUGGAGCUGGCAGAACAUGGACUAAAACUGUUAAGCCAAAAUAAAUCUUUUCUCUUAUAAGGUGUUUAUGUCAGUCAUUUUGGUCACAGCAACAAAAAGCUAACACAAAUACAUGUGUAAUGUGGUUAAAUAAAUGCUUGAGAAGAGUUCAAGAUUUUCUUAACUAUGACAUAGAUGUAAAGGGAUGCUUUCAGGAUGGGGUACAUAGACCUUUAAUUAUAUGAAUAAUGUAUUAUUCUUUUUGUUUGGGGUUUUUUAUUAUAUUAUUUCUUAAUAUAAAUGGUGGAUAUGUAUUUAUAUUAUUCUUUAUAAGUUUUGUCACCAGAAAAUUUUCAAAUUAAAUUUAAGUUUGAAAUUAUAAAUGUAGUACCUGGAAUCUUACAUGUAAUAGAUAUAUGAUUAUUUAUAAACCCUGUUCUUUUUUUUAGGGGGGGUACUGGGGAUUGAACCCAGGGGCACUCAACCAUUGAGCCAAAAUAAAAUAUUUUGUAUUUUAUUUAGGGACAUGGUCUCACUGCAUUGUUUAGUACCUUGCUUUUGCUGAGGCUGGCUUUGAACUCAAGACCCUCCUGACUCAGCCUUCUGAGAUGUUGGGAUUACAGGGAUGCGCCACUGUGCCCAGCAUAUUUAUAAACCCUUUUCUGAAUGCCAAAUUAACUUUAAAACACAUCGGUUAUGUUCUUUAAUAUAUAAUCAAUACAAAAUUAGUAAAGUAUUAAUAUAGAUAUUUCAACACACAAAUCUCAUAAAGCCACUUGAUAAUAUAACUGGUCUCUGACAUUGUCUAAGUUUUGUUUCUUAGAUCAAAAAGGACUUUGCUAUAUUGUCAACAUAGAAAACUCAAUCAAAAAUUCAACAUGACUAUUUCAAAGUCAAUGUGAUCCUGUAAGUCCUAUUCCACACAACUAGCAGAAAGAAGUUAGCUUGUUUGAUAGGUCAGCUAGUUUCUAAUAUACCUCAUCUGGUUGAAUAUGUAAGCAUCAGAAGACACUGCUGCCUCCUCAUCUAGAACUCUGAAGCUCUGGUCCAACAUCAUCAAAAGAAUGCAAUGCAAGCCCAUUAUAUCUUAAAAAUUCUUGAAAUUUUUGUAGCUGAUGCUCAUGCUUGGCUUCCUGAAACAUUAAAUAAAUAAUAUUAUCAUUUCUUAGUCAACUCUGAGUUUAUAUGGAGAGUAACAUAAGAUGGUUGAAUUAUUUUAGGGUAGCUUCCCCAAGAGGUUGAAAGUUUCUAGGAAGCAGGGGCUGUCUUCAUGGCUUUCAAGACUUCACCUGACCUUCAACUUUAACGUUUAACAAAGGAUAUAGCAGCUACCCUAUAGGUAUUUGGUGAAUUGUUUUUUGAGGAGAUAGCAGGGUCAGAAAUACAACCAACAACCAUGUGUGUACCAUUCUGGACUACAAACAGCUUCCAUUAUUUGGAUAUUAUUAUCUGAUUACUUCUGGUUAUUAAUUAUAGUUCAGAUUCUUGGAUAUAUACACUCGAUGAAAGGAUUAUGACUGUGUCAUGUGGUCAGAAACCUUGUGGAGUCACUGUCUUAGGAAAGAACUUUCCUUGCACAUAAGAGAAGGGAAUUUAGGAUUAGGGUAGGAAGCUGCCCAAUCCCGGAAGCUAGAAGCACAAGUCAGGAAGCCAGGAACCUUGCUCUUUCUGCUUCCUAUAGUUUCUCAGUAGAUUUAUUUUUCUUUCCCUUUUUCACUGCCUGCAAGAUCUGCAGAGGUGUUUUCAUUGCCCCAGGGCACACAACCCCAAACACUGUAAAUCCGCAGCUUGGAGUAUGUAUCACCAGGACAGACUGAAAUAAGCAUUUCCUAUUUACCAUCUUCCCGUAGAGAUUCAGAUGGCACAAUUUAGGCCAAGGGAUACUCUUCACUCAAUAGUGUAACAGACUGGAGUAGAAUAGCAGGCCUUCCAGAACGGACUGUAUCUUUUCUAAGGGAAAACGUAUGUCGCAUGCACUGCUAAUUUAAAGCCCGUUAUACUGUUGGGCUCUACAUUCUCACAAGUUUCGGAGAUUUUUUUUCCUUGAAGGAAGACUAAGCCAUAUCGGGUGUCCUCCCUCAGGCUUAUCUUAUCUCUGGGCACCUGGAAUCCUUCUCAUUGACCUCUGCUUCUAGAGGAGGACUCUGAACAGAUGCCCCAGCAGAUCAGACUGACAGCUGGUCCCAAUGUCCUCUCCAAGCCGUUCUGGAUGGUAAAGCAUUAAGAGUCUAAAAACUGGUAAACAAUCUGCAGAAAUUCGGAAUACAAGGAGGCAAUCCAGAAUCACUCAGCUCUAAAACAUUGCGGUUCUAUGAUCAGGAACACGAGGCGGCACCAUGGACCCAGAGGCAACUGCGCAGCUGCCAGGAGAGCAGCUGGUGGGGCUCUUGAGGGCUGCUGGCUGCCGGGAGGCUCUGGAAGGCGGCGGAGGAAGAGCGCGGCGCGGGCGCGGGCGCGGGCGCGGGCGGGGGCGGCUCGGCCCUGCUCCCGCAGUCUGUUGCGCUCUGCUUAUUAGCUUGGCACACAAAUUGAAACAUGUACGUCUAAAUCUAUUUCUGGCUUUUAAAUGUGUGAAGGAAACACAUAACUUUAUUAUAUUUUAUUUUUGUAAAGUUAAAGGCAGAGACAGAUGCCCCUAAAGCGUAUGCAUUCUCUAAGAAAUUCCUAUUUGGUGGUGCAUCUUGGAAGCAAAAAUCAAGGACAAAUAGGUCAUCUCCUCUGUCUUCCGGAGGAAUCUUGGUGCUAGAAAAAAAAUGCACUGGUAACUACUGGAGAUGAGAGUAAUAGCAUCAAGAAAGAUGUCAAAAAAAAAAAAAGAAAAAGAAAAAGAAAAGAAAAAAAAAACUUCGAGAGGAUAAACAAUGAAGUAAGAAUUGAUGUAAUAUUGUUAUUAUUUGUUAAAUGCUAAAAGUAUAGCAGAUAUAAAUAGACAUUUAAAAUUUAGCUAAGAAACCUGUGAACAUGUGUAGAAUUACCUCACCAGAGAUGUUUGGAAAUCUUUACAGCAUAAUAUCUUUCUGUGAAGGGUCCGUCAAUAAAUUAGGAAUUUAAAAAUCUGGAAAAAUACACAUUACCAAUCCAACAAAUAUGUUUCUGAGAGGGAUUGUUAUGAUAAAUUUAACUUGAGCUGUGAGUGUGCCAAAGAAAAAAAUCUUAUAAAACAAAAUAUUAUGACAUUCAUUUAUUCAAAAAAAUAUUUCUGAGCAAAUGCUAUGUGCCAGGCACUGUGCUAAGUAGGGGGAAUAUACUGGUUAAAAUGAAACAAAUGAGUACUGUCCCUGCAAUGCUUGUCCUUGUCCAACUGGAGCAGGGAAAAUAUCAUAAUCACCAGAUUAAGCAGAUAAUAUAUGGGGUCUACAAGAUUGGUUAGUCCAAACAUUCAUUUUACAUUGAAGGAACUGAGGCCCCACAUAUUGUAUAGACGAAGCUGUCUGUGCUCUUGGCUGAUUUUUGAUCUCUGAAGGAAAUAGUAUAGUAUUUUUUUUUGUCUUAUACUUUCUUUUAAAAUUCUCAAACUGUAUGACAUAAUAAAUGUAGACACUAAUUUAUUUCAAAAUUCUUUUUAUAGGCUUUCAGUAUUUCUGUGCUUUUCUGGAAAUGAAACAGGAAAUCAAAACUUUUUCAAAAGCUGGGGUUCAGUUUUCAAUAUCUAAUCCAGUUUUUCUCAGGAAGUGUUAAGCCAUGUGAUUCCUAUUACCAUCAAAAACAGUCGUAUUGUGUGAUACUGACCAUCUGUUUAAGAUAUGGCAGACACACUUGGGAAAAUCCAGAAUAAUGGAAACUCAAAACCAUUAUUUGUUAGGGAGUUUAUCAGUACAAGAAGAAGCCACUGUGGUCAGAUGUGGAUGAGGCAUUAUUAGAUGGACCAUCUGGGUUUCACGCCUACCUGGGCUCUCCAUGGCUCAUGUGAUAACUGUGUGUCCCUUAGUUGUCUGACCUGCAGUUGUACUUCACUGUUAGCACAGUGCCUGCCACCCACAAGGAUGUUGUGACAAUCGCUGAAGUAAAUGCUGUAAAGCAUUGUGAGCAAUUCAAAAGGAGGGUUGCUGCCUAACUACCCAAAAUCAUUAUACACCUACGGGUACAGCUUUUCUUUCUUUUUUUUUUUUGACACUAUUAAUAUGGCAAUAUAAAAGGGCAUUCCUCAGGGUUCAUUUAAUUUUAUAUGUGUUUUAUUCCAUUUAUUAUUCAUUUUAACUUUAAAUGAAUAUUUCCAAGAUGUUAACCUGGCACUAAAGGGAACCCAUCAUCAGUUUGAUAUGUCAUUACCAUGGGUUGCAUGUGCCCACCCCUAGAUGCAUAUGUUAAAUCCUAAACCCCCAAUGUGGUGAAGUCUUUGGGAGAUAAUUAACUCAUGAGGGCAAAGCCUUUAUGUAUGGGAUUAGUCCCUUAUAAAGGAGGCCCCAGGAGCUCUCUUACCCAUUUCCACUGUGUAAGGACACAGAGAGAAAGAAGACUUCUCAGUCGAAGUCCAAGAUCAAGGCACAAAAAUAUUCAAAGUUCUCAUAGUUCUGGAACUAUGAGAAAUAAAUAUUUGCAUAUUUAUGCAUACCUGAUAGCAUGAAAACAAACAGUUAUGGCAAUUGUGUCCUAAACCAUCCUAGAUAAGUUUCUGUUGGCUCUGUUACUUUUUCUUUUCUUCCUUCUUUUUUACUUUUUAAAAUAAUGACUUAUUGAGAUAUCAUUCACAAAGAAGUUCACCCUUUCAAAGUGUGCAACUUAAUGAUUUUAGCUUCCUCACAAAGUUGUACAACUAUCAGCAUUAAUUUCAGAACAUUUAUGAGUGAAUUAUAUCCUAUUGUAUAGAUAUAUCACAUUGUGUUUGUUUAUUCAUCAAUUGGUGAGCAUUUGGAUUGUUUCCACAUUUUAAUUACCAUGAAUUACAUUGCUGUGAACAUUGGUGAACAAGUGUUGUGUGUAACCAUGUUUUCAGUUCUUCUGGGUGUUUAACUAGAAUUACUACUACUAGACUAUAUGAUAACUCAAUUCUUAGCCUUUCAAGGAACUGCCAUACUGUUUCUCAAGUUGGUACAUUCUUACCAACAAGGAAUGAGGGUUUGUAUUUCUCCACAUCUUUGUCAACAUUUGUUAUCAUCCAUCUUUUUGAUAAUAGCCAUUCUAGUGGAUGUGACAUAGUAUUUCAACAGUUUUGGUUUGCAUUUUUCUAAUGACUAAUGAUGCUGAAGAUCUUUUCAUGUGAUUAUUAUCCAUUUGUAUCCUUUUGCAAGAAAUGUCUGUUCAAGUUUUUUGCCCAUUUUUUUUAUCUGAGUCAUUUCUCUUUCACAUAUUUGAAUUAUUAUGAAUUCUUUACAUAUUCUCAUGCAGUUCCUUUUUAGGGAUGCUUGAUUUACAAAUAUUUUAUCCAUUCUAUAGUUUGUCUUUUUCACUUUCUUAAUAUUUUCUUUUUUGUUUCAGUGCUGAGGAUUGAACCCAGGGUCCUGUGCGUACAAGGCAAGCCCUAUGUCUCUAAGCUUCACCCUUGCCCUGUCUUUUCACUUUCUUGAAAUGAAGCACAAAAAUGUUUUAAUGUUGAUGGCGUCCAAUUUUUUGUUGUUGCCUGCAUUUUGGUGUUAUAUGAUUACCCAAUCCAAGGCCACAAAAAUUUGCUCUAAUGUUUUCUUCCAAGAGGUUUAUAAUUUUAGCUCUUAUAUUUAGAUCUUUGAUUUGUGUAAUUACUAUAUAAGAUACAUAAACAGGAUCAAGCUUCUUGCUUUUACAUGCAAAUAUCUAGUUGUCUCAGCACUCUUUGCUAAGACCACUCUUUCUCCUUGAACUGUCUUGACUGGCUCCCUUGUAGAAAAUCAGUUGGCCACAAAUAUGGGGGUUUGUAUCUGGAUUCUCAAUUCUAUUCCAUUGAUCUAAAUGUUGUUACAUAUGCCACUACCACAUUGUCUCGAUUAUUGCAGCUUUGCAGAAAGUUUUGAAAUUCCUAUUUAAAAAUCAAGCUGGAGGGGCUGGGGACAUGGCUCAAGCGUAGCGGGCUCGCCUAGCAUGUGCGGGGCGCUGGGUUCGAUCCUCAGCACCACAUAAAAGUAAAAUAAAGAUGUUGUGUCCACCGAAAACUAAAAAAUAAAUAUUAAAAAAUUCUCUCUCUCUCUCUUAAAAAAAUCAUAAAAUGUUAAAAAUGGGGGGGGGGAGUGUGACUUUAAUAAAAAAUCAAGCUGGAAUUGCAUUGCAUUGCAUUUGCAUCAUAGAUCAAUCUGGAGAGUACUCCUAUCUUAACAAUUUUAAAUCUCCCAGUCCACAAACAUGGGGUGUCGUUUCAUUUAUUUUUAUUUUUUAAGUUAAUUAUUUUAAUUAGGUAUAUAUGACAGCAGAAUGUAUUUUGAUUCAUUGUACACAAUUGCAGCACAACUUUUCAUUUCUCUGGUUGUACACGAUGUAGCAUUGCACCAUAUAUGCAAUCAUACAAGUACCUAGGGUAAUAAUGUCCAUUUCAUUCCACUGUCUUUCCUGCCCCCAUAAACCCUCCUCUCCCUACCUCUCUCUCCCCCCUUUACCCAAUCAAAGUUCCUCCAUUUUUCCCAUGGCCCGCCUACCAUCAUGGAUCAGCAUCCACUUAUCAGAACAUUCGGCCUUUAGUUUUGGGGAAUUGGCUUACUUCACUUAGCAUAAUAUUCUCCAACUCCAUCCAUUUACCUGCAAAUGCCAUAAUUUUAUUUUCUUUUAAUGCUGAGUAAUAUUCCAUUGUGUAUAUUUACCACAGUUUCUUUAUUCAUUAAUCUUUCAAAGGGCAUCUAGAUUGCUUCCACAGUUUAGCUAUUAUGAAUUGAGCUAUUACACUGAUGUGGCUGUGUUACUAUAGUAUGCGGUUUUAAGUCCUUUGAAUAUAGACUGAAGAGUGAAGUAGCUGGAUCAAGUGGUGGUUCCAUUUCAAGUUUUCUGAGGAAUCUUUAUACUGCUUUCCAGAGUGGUUGUACCAAUUUGUAGUCCCACCAGCAAGGUAUAAGUGUGCCUUUUCCCCCAUAUCCUCGCCAACACUUAUUGUUGUUUGUAUUCUUGAUAAUUGCCAUUCUAACUGGUGUGAGAUUUGCAUUUAUCUAAUUACUAGAGGUGUUGAACAUUUUUUCAUAUAUUUGUUGAUCGAUUAUAUAUCUUCUUCUGAGAAGUGUCUGUUCAGCUCCUUAGCCCAUUUAUUGAUUGGGUUGUUUGUUUUUAUGGUGUUAAGUUUUUGAGUUCUUUAAAUAUCCUGGAGAUUCUAUCUGACAUCCACAUGGCAAAAAUUUGCUCCCAAAAUGUAGAUUCUCUCUUCACAUCAUUGUUUCUUUUGCUGAGAAGAAGCUUUUUAGUUUGAAUUCAUCUAAUUUAUUAAUUCUUGAUUUUAUUUUUUGUGAUUUAGGAAUCUUGUUAAGGAAGUUGGGACCUAAUCUGAUGUGAUAGAUUUGGGCCUACCUUUUCCUCCAUUAGACGCAGGGUCUCUGGUCUAAUUCCGAGGUCCUUGAUCCAUUUUGAGUUGAGUUUUGUGCAUGGUGAGAGAUAGGGAUUUGGUUUCAUUUUGCUGCAUAUGGCUUUCCAGUUUUCCCAGUACCAUUUGUUGAAUAGACUAUCUUUUCUCCAAUGUAUGUUUUUGGCUCUUUUGUCCAGUAUGAGAUAACUGUAUUUAUGUGAGUUUUUCUCUGUGUCUUCUAUCCUGUACCAUUGGUCUAAUGUCUAUUUUGGUGCUAAUACCAUGCUGUUUUUGUUACUGUAGUUUUGUAGUAUAGUUUAAGGCCUGGUAUUGUGAUGCCUCCUGCUUCUCUCUUCUUAUUAAGGAUUGCUUUGACUAUUCUGGGUCUCUUAUUCUUCCAAAUAAAUUUAUGAUAGCUUUUUCUGUUUCUAUAAGGAAUGACUUUGGGAUUUUAAUUGGAAUCACAUUGAAUCUGUAUAGCACUUUGGGUAGUAUGACCAUUUGGGGAGUAUUAAUUUUGCCUAUCCAAGAACAUGGGAGAUAUUUCCAUCUUCUAAGGUCUUCUUCAAUUUCUUUCCUUUUUUAUUUAUUUAUUUUUUAUUUAUAUAUAAUAGUGGAAUGUAUUACAAUUCUUAUUACAUAUAUAGAGCUCAAUUUUUCAUAUCUCUGGUUGUAUACAUAGUACAUUCAUGCCAAUUUGUGUCCUCAUACAUGUACUUUGGAUAAUAAUGAUCAUCACAUUCAACCAUCAUUAAUUACCUCAUGCCCCCUCCCUUCCCCUCCAACCCCUCUGCCCUAUCUAGAGUUCAUCUAUUCCUCCCAUGCUCCCCCUCCCUAUCCCACUAUGAAUCAGCUUCCUUAUGUCAAAGAAAACAUUCGACAUUUGGUUUUUUGGGAUUGGCUAUCUUCACUUAGCAUUAUCUUCUCUAACUCCAUCCAUUUACCUGAAAAUGCCAUGAUUUUAUUCUCUUUUAUUGUUCAGUAAUAUUCCAUUGUGUAUAUAUGCCACAUUUUUUUUAUCCAUUCAUCUAUUGAAGGGCAUCUAGGUUGGUUCCACAGUUUAGGUAUUGUGAAUUAUGCUGCUAUAAACAUUGAUAUGGCUGUGUCCCUGUAGUAUGCUCUUUUUAAGUCCUUUGGGAAUAGACAGAGGAGAGGGAUUGCUUGUUCAAUUUCUUUCUUUAGUGUUCUGUAGUUUUCAUCAUAGAGGUCUUUCACUUCUUUUGUUAAAUUGAUUCCAUUUGUUUGUUUGUUUGUGUGUUUGAGGCUAUUGUGAAUGAAGUACUUUUCCUAAUUUCUCUUUCAGAGGAUUUAUCACUGAUGUAUAGAAAUUCAUUUGAUUUAUGGGUAUUGGUUUUAUAUCCUGCUACUUUGCUGAAUUCAUUUUUUAAUUCUGGAAAUUUUCUGGGGGAACUUUUUGGAUCCUCUAAGUAUAGAAUCAUAUCAUCAGCAAAUAAUGAUAGUUUGAAUUCUUCUUUUCCUAUUUGUAUCCCUUUAAUUUCUUUUGUCUAAUUACUCUGGCUAGAGUUUCAAGGGGUAUGUUGAAUAGAAGAAGUGGUGAAAGAAGGCAUCCCUGUCUUGUUCCAGUUUUUAGAGGGAAUGCUUCCAAUUUUUCUCCAUGUAGAAUGAUGUUGGCCUUGGGUUUAGCAUAGAUAGCUUUUACAAUGUUGAGGUAUGUUCCUACUGUACCUAGUUUUUCUAGUAGUUUGAACAUGAAAGGGUGCUAUAUUUUGUCAAAUGCUUUCUCUGCAUCAAUUGAUAUAAUCAUAUGAUUCUUUUAAGUCUAUUGAUUCGAUGAAUUAUAUUUACUGAUUUUCGUAUGUUGAGCUAAACUUGUAUCCCUGUUUUCAUUUAUUUUGAUCUUUAUCUUUUUCAAUGGUGUUUUGUAGUCUCAGUGUAUGAAUGGAAGCAUUUAUUUUGUUAAAUUUAUUACUAUUUUAUUCUUUUUGAUGCUAUUAUUUUUCUCCCAGGGCUGAGGACCGAACUCAGGGCCUUCCACAUGCUAGGCAAGUGCUCUGCCAGUGAGCUAAAUCCCCAAACUCCUUUUUGAUGCUAUUUUAAAUGAAAGUUUUUACCUUUCAUUUUCACAUUGUUCAUUGCUAAAGUGUAAAAAUAUAUUGAUAUUUGUAUAUUGAUCUUGUGUCCUACAAACUUUCUAAAUUUAGUUGUUCCCAGUAGUUUUUUAAAUAGACUAUUUAGUGUUUUCUCUACAUAAAAGACAAUAUAAGCUACAAAUAAAGAUAGUUUUUUUUUUCUCAUUAGUGUGGAUGCUUUUAUUUUUUCUAUUUCCUGAGUAUCCAGAUCUCCAGUACAGUAUUAACUAGAAGAGGCAAGAAGUGACCUCUCUGGUUUUUUUUUUUUUUCUUGAUAAGGAGGAAAAUCCAGUCUUUCACCAUUGUGUAUGAUAUUAGUUUGAGGUUUUUGUAGAUGAACUUUAUCAGUUCAGGAAAUUCCCCUGAGUAUUUCUCUUGAAAUAGCUUUGGUGGACAGGGCUGUAGUGUCAAAAUGAAUGAUUUGUGAAAGUUCUUUUAGGACUUCACGUCCUUUCCAUUAUUUAUAAUAAGGUUGGAAACAUUGCCCACUAAACACAGGUGUGUGUGUUCUUUCCCCUCACGCCCAGAAAAGACUGGAUGUUACAGAAGAAACUCUUUUUUCUCUCUUUUCCUCUCUCCCAAGUAUUUUCCCUAAUUGCUACCCAUAUGAAAGCAAACAGUCAAUUGUGGUGGGUAAAUAUAAUAGCUUCUUACCAUUCUAUCCUUAUGCUUGUAGGAUGCAGUACAUUUGUGCAUGAAUUUCUAUCAUACAUAUGCCAUGGGUGUUAUGUAAAAUAAGCUGCAGGAAGUCAGGAAAGGUGUCAACUCCAGAAAAAGUACCUCAACAAACUUCUAAAAGGAAAAGACAUUUAUCAAAUUCAACCAAGAAUUUAGUUCCCAGAAGAAUUGGCAUAUUAGGAUUUGGUCGGCAUUCUUGAAAAAGAAUUACUGAUUUGAUGAUGAUUAAAUGCACCAAUAUACUGCCAGAUGCUAAGUGGUACCUUUAAGAAGCUGAGACCCAAAAGCCAAUGAAGACUGGCCACCCAGGUAAAAAAAAAAAAGUCCCAGCCAAGGAAAACACAGCAUGGUAGAGUUAACUGAAUGGCGUUGGUGACUGUUUUCUGACUUGUUGUUGCCUGGUAGCUUGCCAUUUUCCCCAGUGGACUGUAUUCAUCUCCCACUCUCAACUUCUAGCAUUUUGCUUUUAGCUUUAUGUAAAGGCUAAGGAUCAAUAAUUACUGCCCUUGGCUGCCCCAUGAAUCUCUCCCUUAGAUGGCAGAAUAAAAACACUACAUGUCCCCUGUUUUCUGGAACUGACCCUGCACACACCCCAGGUUUGACUCAGUCUUGCAUUAUUUGUGUAUGGCUCACAAUAUGAAAAGCAAACUAUAAUGUUUUAAAAAAUCUUUUAAAAAAAACAUCUCAUGUGAUUUUUAAAGCCAAGUAAUAAAUGGGUUGCUGUGAGUCUUAAUAGUUCCCCUCUUUGACUUGAAAACUAGAUUUACUACUUAUGAUAGAAAAAAAUUAUUCUUGGUUUACUUUCAUUCCCCCAAAUCUAAUGUUUCAGGCAAGAAUUUUCAGGGAAAAAAGGAACUUUAGAAGAACAAAGGAUUUUCCUCCAUUUCUGGUGAAACUGUAACCCAAUAACACAGUAAGGAAAAGUUAGAUAAUUAGGAAUUAUCUCCUUUGCCCCAAAAUGAUAUAAUCUAUUCCUAACUACUAAUGACUGGUAGAAGGGAGGAGAGAAGGGAUAGGAAAACAGGAAGAAUUGGGAUACACUGACAAACAAUGCUAUACUUUGUCAGGUCUUUGAGUGAUUUUCAUCAAGUACCAUUGAUCACUGAUUGAUAUCAAUAUCUCCCUCACAGAGAUAUACUGUCCAUCCUGGCCUGGAGAGUCCAGGAACCACUAGAAACAGAGGAUAAGAGCUGAGGAGCUGCUUGGAACACUUGGCAUAAAGGAAGAACUGAAAGCAAAGGGAGAGGAUACUUGAUGUGUAACUUGUCCUGUGCUAAACAAUGAAGCAAAAUAAUCAAAAGGCAGGAUGAUUUUUACUAAGCCUUGAUGAGAUAUCACACUGAUAAGUUGUAAACAAAGUAGAGAACUUGCUCAGGUCUUGGGCUUCUGAGCUGGCUCUGUGGUGAGACAGCAUAUCCUCAGGGUUUCUCCUGUGACUCGCUAAGAAUCCUAGGAGAGGAAUUUUCCAUUUUACUAUUUGGUAAUACAAUUCACGUCCUAAUUUUUGGGCAGUUUAAAGAAUGGGCAGUAGCUAAUGUCAUGUAAAAGAUGAAAAAUGGAAACAAUUAAGGAAAUAAUCACGAAACUCUAAAAGCCAUUUCCAAGAUUGAACCAUAAAAACGUAGGCUAAAUACUUAAUAGCAAUGAUCAAGGAGAGGAGAAUAAAGAAGACUUUACUGCAACCAAAAAGUCAUUUCAGUUCUCACAUGGGUGCCCUGAGAAAAAUGAGGCUGUAACCCAAAGGAAAUGUCAAGACUUGUUUCUUAUUAAGUUAUUUUUGAGGAAAUUUGCGUUUGUGGGUUUAUUCUGAGUAAAUUUCCCCAGAGAAACAUGUGAGGAUGUAGAGUGUAUAAAUAGGGUCCACAUGAGAAAUUAAAAUGACACCCAGAAAUAAAAUAGGGGUCAAAUGGAAAGUCUGUGCAGGUGAACUGCUUUUUUAGUUCAGUGAAUCUUCCCAAUCUCUCUGAUAGAAAAUCUGAUUUAAUUUGAGGCAGGGAAGGGAGUGGGAUAUGGUAGCAUGGAGGUUGAAGGAAAUUCUAAUGUCCUUAAAACCAUGGACUAGAGAGGGAAAUGAAGAAUAUAAAAUUCAUCUUUUGUUCUUCCAUCUGGAUUGUCCUGAACCAUUUCCAAACAGAAGAUACUUUCUCAGGAAUUUUUCUCAGGGGGGGAAAAAAGAUUACUCAGGCUCCAAAUAGAGCCUGACUUCAGAUGACUGACAUAAAGGCCUUGGGAAGACCCUUAGGUAAUGGACUUUAAUUAAAACUGAGGAGUAGUGGGUUACCUAAGGUAGGAAUAGAAGUGUCCAUAAGUGCAAUAAUUUCAACAUGUUAGGAAAAUUAAAAAUUCAAUAUUUUAGGAAUACAUAUAACAAAAUAUAGUAUACCAUUAAGAUUAUCAGUAAGAUUUUGCUUUUUCUUUUGAGGUACUGGGGAUUAAACCCAACUCCUCCUCAUGCUAGGCAAACACUCUACCACUAAUAAAUACCUCCAGCUCUUUUUAUUUUUUUAUUUGGCAAGAGGGUCUAGCUAAAUUUCUCAGGUUGGCCUCAAACUUGAGGUCCUCUUCAUUCAGCCUUCUAAAUAGCUGAGAUUAUAAGUAUGGACCACCACACCUGACUAACAAGAAAUUUUUAUCAAAAACUAGUCUUAGGGUUUAGGGUCAAGAACUCAGCACAUGGAUUCUGUAUCUGUGAGCUCUAAGGGGAAGCAAGAGGUAUCCAAAAAUAGUUCCCUUCUAUUGAAGAGGAUACACUGCAGUGAUCAUUUCCGCUGAUAUUGUGGGGUUGUGUUAAGAGCUCCAUGUUAUGUGAGCCACAAUUUAUUCAGCUCAUUAUUUAUUAUGUAAGAAUAUAUUGUUCCAAUCAACUCGAGAGAAUUUAAAUGGUUUUAACCAUUUAAGUUUUAACACAUUUUAUUACAUACUGAAUUAUUAUACUGCAUGGUAAUUAAACAUGAAUAUUACACUUAUUUUUUUUUCAUUUCAUUUUGUCAUUUCUUGAACAUUUAAAACCAAGGUCAGUUUAUGUUCCUGAUGCCAAGUACCUUUUAACCAUCUAUAUUAGUCUGUUUUCUGUUACCAUAACAAAAUACUAUAGGCUGGAUAUUUAAAAAGAAAAGAAGUUUAUUUAACUCAUAGUUUUAGAGGCUGAAAAUCCAAAGAGCACAGCACCAAUUCUGGUGAGGGCCUCUAGCUACAUCAUCUUGGAAGAGGGUAUCAUAAUGGCAAGAGCACUAGCAAGAGUAAAAGGUAAUUAGGCAAGACAGGAAGCCAAAAGAGGGAGCACAGCCAGUCUGGUUAAUUUUAAGCAACUGUUCAAACUUACCAAAGGGUACUAUGAGAACUGCUUUAAUCUAUUCAGAGGAGAGUUGCCUCAGUGAUAUUCCACUACUAAGCUCAACAGCUUAAAGUCCUCCCUCCUCUAUACCACCGCACAGAGGACCAAGGCUCCAACACAUGAACUGCUGGGAGACAGACCACAUCCAAACAAUAGCAUUAUUAUCCUUUUUUUCCCCAUAACUUUUUAGUCAUCUAUGUGAUUCAAUUUCUUACCCUCAGAACCUGAGCCUAUGCCCUAGAGCUGGGGAUUUCUGUGUAUUUUAUCCCAACACAUCUCUGCUCUUCCCUCAUCCCAUUCAUUCUUGAAGAUUUGAGCCAGCUGCAUUUUUGCCCCCAUUCCUGCUACUUAUGAAUUAGGCAAGGAAAGGCUUAACAUGGCAGGAAUCCUGGGGCAUAAAAUAAAAUUGCAGACAUCAACAGAAGGGCAACAGUAACAUUACAAUGUUGUAGAUGGGAAAGAAAAAGAUCAGAAAUGGCAAAUGGAAGGUGACAAGGGAAGUGGGAUUCCCAUAAUUUAGAUUCCUCUGUAAAUUGUAUUGGAGUACCAAUGGCAUGCCCUCUCUACAAGAGCAAACAAGCAAGAGGAGAUGUGAAACAAUAAGAAAUAUACAACUAGUCUGUGCAUUCGCCCUGCCCUGUUUCCUAGCACACAGCUCCUAACCCCCUUGGAAUUUCCUAAGCAAUAAGUGUCUUUUUGCUUGCUCAUGAAAUAACUGAUGACUAGGAGUUCCUGGAUACACUCUAAAUGGGGGCUGGUUACCUGGGGAACCAACAGUGUGAUUAGAGGGUUGAAACUUUCAUCCCCACCCACUGACCCUCAAAGAGGGGAGAGGUUUGGGGCUGAAGGUUGAGUUAAUCACUGAGGGACAAUGGUUUACUCAAUCAUGAUAAUGUAAUGAAGCCUCCACAAAAACCCAAAGAGGGUUUGGAGAGGUCCAGGUUGCUAGGAAGUGCUAAGAGGGUGGCAGAACUCAAAACGGGAAUGGAAAGUCCGUGCAACUCCUCCAUACUGCCCUAGUCAUCUCUUCCAAACAGCUUUUCAUCUGUAUCUUUUGUAACAUACUUGAUAAUAAACUGUUAAACAUAACAAAUAAUAAACUUCUAAACUUGUAAACAAAUUUCCCUGUGUUCUGUGAGGCAUUCUAGCAAAUGAUCAAACCUGAGGAGGGGGUUUCAGGAACUUCUAAUUUAUAGCUGGUCAGUCAGAGGCAAGAUUGGAAUCUGAGCUUAUUAUUGGCAUCUGAAAUUGAGGAAAGUCUUGUGGAACUGAGCCCUUGACCUGUAGAAUCCACACUAACUUUGGUUAGUGUCAGAAUAGAGUUAAAUUAUAGGACUCCCAGUUGGUGUUAGAGAAUUGGUCAAUGUGGGAAAAAAACCAUAUACAUUUUGAUGACCUGAAGUGUUCUGUGUUGAGAGUAUAGCAGGAGAAAACACUUGGUUUAUUUUCCUGUUAUGCAGGGGACCUCUUUGUAACUGUAAUAGUUGCAAAGAUCACCAAGACCCGCUCUGGGAAUGAAAACGUUAUUCUCUCCAGUUACAGCACUCAGCUGUCAGUCUUCUUAAGAAUUGUCUGGGGCUGGGGUUGUGGCUCAGCAGUAGAGCACCCGACUAGCACAGGUGAGGCCCUGGGUUCGAUCCUCAGCAUGACAUAAAAAUAAAUAAAUAAAAUAAAGGUAUUAUGUCCACCUGCAACUAAAAAAUAAAUAUUAAAAAAAAUUAUCUGGGCUCAGGAGAACUGAACUGCCUGUCCCUUGACCACCCUCUUUCUUGUAGCAUCUUACAUCCAAUGACUAGUCAAAUAUAAAGACCAGCUCCUUCACCCCAACAAGGGACAUAUCUGAAAAUCCACCUCAUCUUCAGAGUUCACUGUGGAGUCAGCUGAGGCUUUCUUUGAGCCUAGCUCCUCCCUCUAUGCUUUCUUCCCUUCCCUUCAACAGGUGGUGAAGCCAGGGGUACUCCCCAAGACCUGUAUACCAGCCUCCAUUCCAGAGUCUGCCUCCUGGGGCCCCAUCCUGUGGGACUGAGUGUGCAUAUCUAUAAAACAGACCAUGAGCACAGCAGCAAAUGAAAAAUAGAUGGAUUGGGCUUCAAAAGGUAAACCUUCACACAUCAAAGGACAUUAUCAGCAGAGUGAAAAGGCAACCUGUGGAAUGGAAGAAAAUAUUUACAAGCCAUAUAUCUAAUAAGGGAUUAAAAUCCAGAAUAUAUAAAGAACUUCUACAUCUCAGUGGUCAAAAAAUCAAAACAUGGGCAAAGGGUUUAAAUAGACAUUUGUCCAAAUAAGAUAUACAGAUGCCAGUAAACCCAUAGAAAAUGCUAACAUCACUAAUUAUUAGGGAAAUGCAAUUCAAAAUCACAAGAGAUGCCACUUCAUUCCCAUUGGGAUGGCCAGAAAAUAAAUGUUGGUGAAGAUGUAGAGAAAUUGGAACUCUAAUGCAUUGCUGAUAAGAAUGUAAAUGGUACUGCUACUGUGGAAACCAAAAAAGCUUCCAAAGUAAGUCUAAUAUACAGCUAAUAUUGACAACUGCUAUAAUUAAACCCAUGAAGUCCCACUAACCCAGAUUUGCCUGCAAAGGUACUCAGUGUAAUCAUGGACCUUUAGAAUUACAAGGAAACUGAAAGCACAUCUGGUCCACAAACAGAAUACAAUUUUAGUGUAUAACACAGCAAUUUCACUUCUGAGCAUAUUCUCCAAAUAAUUUAAAACAGGGACUCAGAUUUCUGUGCACCAAUUUUACAACAAAAUAAUUCGCUGUAGCCAAAAGAUGGGAACAGAUCAAAUACCAUCAAUAGAUGAGGGGUAAACAACAUGUGGUAUGUACAUACAAUGGAAUAUUAUUCAGCCUUAGAAAGGAAGGAAAUUCUGACACAUCCUACAACAUGGAUGAACAUUGAGGGCAUUAGGCUAAGUGAAAUAACCAAUCACAAAAGGCAAAUACUGUGUGAUUCUACUUGUAUGAGGAACCUAGAUAAGUCAAAUUCAUAGAGACAUGAAUUGGAAUGGUAUUUGCAAGGGGUUGGGGGAGGAAGGAAUAGGGAAUUAGUGUUCAGUGGGUACAGGGCUUUGGUUUGGGAUAAUGAAAUUUCUGGAAAUGGAUGUUGCACAACAGUGUGUAUAAUUAAUGCCUCUGAGCUGUGCACUUAAAAAUGUGCACUUAAAGCUGUGCACUUAAAACUUAAAAACAGCGCUGAAGCUGUGGCUCAAUGGUAGAGUGCCUGGCAUGCGUGAGGCACUGGGUUUGAUCCUCACAUAAAAAUAAAAUAAAGGUAUUGUGUGCACCUACAACUAAAAAAAUAUAUUUUUAAAAAUGGUUAAAACAAAAAGUUUUUUGUAUAUUUUGCUUCAAUAAUAUUUAUUUAACUAAAAAAUACAAGAGUGGGAUACAUACCUGUAAUCCCAGCUUCUUGGGAGGCUAGGGGAAAAAGAUGUUCAAGGCCAGCCUGCAAAUUUAGCAAGACCCUGCGUCAAAAUAAAAUAAAAAGGAUUGGGAUGCAGUUCAGUAGUAGAGUGCCCCUGAGUUUAAUCACCAACAGCAAAAAAAAAAAAUAGCACCUAAGACCACAUGUGCUUUCAGUUUCCUCGUAAUUCUAAAGGUCCAUGAUUACACUAAAUACCUUUGCAGCCAAAUCUGGGUUAGUGGGACUUCAGGGGUUUAAUUAUAGCAGUUGUCAUUAUUAGCUGUAUAUUAGAACUACUUUGGAAGCUUUUUUUUUUUUUUUGAGUAUGCCUUGACUACACGAUAGUGAUUCAUAUGUGAUUGACUCUAAGCCUUGAUACUUUUAAAAGCUGCUGGUGAUACCAAUAUAUAAACACAGUUAAGAUUUACUGGGCUAGAAGAAUACAGGCCAUAGCUUCCCUGCUCACUUGCUAUUAUUGCCCCUGAGGAUUUGGCCACCUGCUUAUCUUUCUAGACUCAUCUUUCUGACUCCUUCCUCCUACACACAGACAAACUAUAACUGAACCACUUCUCUCCUGUCAAACCCUAUCUGACUUCUGCCCCUUAGUUCAUGUUUCCUCUGACGAGACCGCCUUCCUCAGACUGAUGCCAUCCUAGUGGACCCCUUCUUGGAAAACUUUCCCUCAGCAUCCUCAUGUGUGCCACUGUUCCGAACUCUGGAAACAUUUCAUGUGACAGCCCCCAUCCUGGGAACUUUGUGGAUCUGCAUACCUCACAGGGCAGCGAGCGAGUCUGCUUACCUGCUUUCCUAGUACAAGGUAGGAGCCAGGCACCAAGAAAAUUGUUAAUAGAUAUUUAUCUAACAGAUUUCUUUAAUAAGAGAUCAUUCAUUCAUAAUGAAAUAGCAUUUUUAAAGAAAAUGCUUUGGGAAGAAUUAACAUGCCUGUAUAAACAAGGCGUUUUUUAAAAACCAUUCACGGAACCAUUAUUAUGUUUCAUGGAUUGUAUUAGUGCUUUACUUGGAGUUUCUUAUUGAAUCUCCACAGCAACCCUAGGAGCAGAUAGUAUUAGCUCCAUGUUAGAAGAGAAAAUAUUCAGUCAGGUAAAGAACCUGUCUGGGAUCCCAGCUAGUGUGCAGCAGAGCUGGGAAUUUCUUUGGAGAUAUAAGUGAUGGUUCCUAAUAUGGGGAAAGGGGCAGAGCAAACAUGUUAGAGAUCAGUAGGAAUCUAAAAGGAGGUGAGAGGCUCUUGUUACUGAUAGGAAAAAAGGAGAGCCACAGACAGAAAAGACAAACUUUGACAUUUUCCCUAUUUUGCUCAGCCUUCAGAUUAAUUGAGUAGUUAUUUAAAUCGCAAACACAAGACUGGAAGGUGGGCACUAUGAAAUUUAUUCCUCAGAUAAAUUCAACUAAAUUCAAUCCAACAAUAUUUAUUGAAGUUCUGUGGUUUCCAGAAACAGUGCAAGACAUUAAUGCCACACACAGAUGACAUAAGAUCUUUGCCAACAGAGCUCUCACUCCAGUGGGGGGGAUGAGAGGUGCACUAUCAACAGAUAUGCCAUGUAAAAUGGUAUAUUUCUUUUUUCUUGCAGUUCUGGGUGUUGAACCCAAGGCUUUGUAUGUACUCUGCCACUGAGCUAUAUCAUCAUUCCAAUGGUAUGUAUUCUUAUAAUCAACGUAUGUGUUAAGAAUUAUGGAAGUACAAAGAAACUCAGUUUUCCAGAGAAACCAGGGAGGGUUUUACAGUAGAACUGGCAUUUGAACUUGAUGAAUGAAUAGAAGAUCAUGUGGAAAGUGAAAAUGUAAAGUUUAGCAGUUGCAGAAGUAUAACCAGUAGGUUAAAAACUAGCCAUUGAGUCAGGAUUAUUGUGGCAGAUAUCUUAGUCUGUUUUGUACUUCUAUAACAGAAUCCCUAAGACUGAAUAAUUUAUAAAGAAUGGGGAUUUAUUUCUAAUAGUUCUGAAAGUUGGGAAGUCCAGGGUUGAGGGUCAUGUAUCUGGUAAGGCCUUCUUCCUACAUCAUCCCAUGGUUUAAGGUGGAAGGGCAAGAGCAUUAGCAGGUGGUGGUGGAGGAGGAGGAGGAGGAAGAGGGAAUUUUUCCUUUUAUCAGGAGCCCACUCUUGAGAAAACAGCAUUAAUCUGUUCAAAAGGGCAGAGCCCUCAUGACCAAAUCACUCCUGAAAGGUCCUCCCUGUCAACAAUAUUGCACUGGGGAUUAAGUUUCAACACAUGAACUUUUGGGGACACACUGAAGCCAUAGCAAUGGGGGAAGAGAGGCAGGAGAGGGGAAAAGAGAGAGAUAUCUUUCCCUGUAUUUUCAGUUUUCCUUUUGUAAGAGUUCUCUUUGUUCUCUCAUUCAAGUCUCCAAAGAUUCUAUGUCCACUGCAUCACUUCGCCUCCCAGAAGUGCUUUAAUGUUAUCUGGCAGUCAGGCAUUCAUUAAAAAAAAUCAACAAUAUGUUAUUCUGCUGUCUCCCUAACCUGACAUUGUGGAAACCUGGGAAUCUUGAUUUUUCUCACUUUUUUUACUCCCUUUUCUCAAUUGCUCAAGUUGUAAAGAUUAUUUUAAGACUAUUAAUAAUAAUUAUCUAAAUAUUAUUAUAUAUAACCAAGAAUCCCAGGUUUCUAGUUUAAACAACUAGGCAACUUGAUUGAAUUAACAAAACUAACAUAGAAGUUAGUUAACAUUCAGUUGUUGUUUUUAUUUAAUUUAUUUUUUAUUUGUUGUUAUUUAAUUAGUUUAAUUAGUUAUACAUGAAAAUAGAAUACAUUUAUGCACUUUGAUAUAUCAUACAUAGAUGGGAUAUAAUUUCUCAUUUUUCUGAGUAUACAUACAGUCGAAUCAUAGUGGUCAUGCAUAUAUACAUAAAUAAUAAUGUCUAUUUCGUUAUACUAUCUUUCCUAUCCCCACAUCCCCUCCCCUCCCCUAUCACAUAGAAUGUAAAGUAACAGGGACAUUCAACUAGAGCAGAAAUCAUAUAGUAGGUAUGAUGAUGUGAUCCAAGAUGCCAUACAUCUGGGAGGCAAAGUGGUAUGGAGUAAAAUCACUACGGUAUUCGCGCUGGUCUUCACACUAACCCUAUACAUGCUUUUUUCCAACCCCUUCCAGAGGAGAAGGGAGGACAAUGGGCAGAAGGACCAUCCCUCUCAGCUUAUUCAUACCUGGAUUUCCUUGCAGGUGUAACAUAUCCUUUCACUUUAGAAUAGAGCAAAAGGUCAAUGAAAUUCAUUAAUUCCUAACUAAUAACCAGUUGAUUAAAUUAAAAUGAUGUCCUUUCCUAUUUUGAAAAGAUGAAGGAAUCAAAACAGUAGGGGAAAUUUGAAUAUUGAAAUUGGAUAAACAGUUGGGAGAGUUGUUUAAAAUUAGAAAUUAAGCACUAGAGCUGUUGCUCAGUGGUAGAGUGCUUGCCUAGCAUGUGUGAGGUGCUGGGUUCAAUCCUUAGUACCACAUAAAAGUAGAUUAAAUAAAGGCAUUCUGUCCAUCUACAACUACAAAGAAAGAGAGAGAGAGAGAGAGAAGUUUAAAACAAAAGUGAAGAAUGAAUAUACAGAAAGCACUUCAGUUUUGGCCUUCCAAUAUUUGACACAUUAACUACAUGUAAGAUGUUUGUUUUAAGAUGCCAUUGUUGGCAGCUAUACAUCUAGAAAUUUUUGAAACUGUUGUUAUGUUGACUUUGUUCUAAAUGAGUGUUGUUCUCUGAGAAUUUCAGAACCAUCCUAGAACCAACCCAGGAACUUUGUUCUCUGAGAGUUUCAGAACCUUCCAAAAUGCCAGAGCUUCCCAGACAUUAGUGCAAUUCAACACACAGAAAGGCACUAUAUGCAAGAUGCCACACACCACCAAGAUGCCAGGGAGUGAGAUGAAUAAAAGUAGCCCGGCCCUAAGUGUGCUUCCAGUGUGGGAGACUUGGAGGUGGCUAAGGGGUGCAUAUAGAAGAUGAGAGUGAGGGAGGUGAUGGCCACAUAAACAAGUAUAUUUACAAAUUCCCCAGAAUGACUGGAGCCUUGACCUAUUUGCAGCCAUUAUGUAAUCACUGAAACAAGUCCAGCUAAAUUAUUCAAAAAUCUCCAAAUGCCAAUUCCUUUUAAUUUUAAAUAACAAGCAUCCUUGAGAGGGAUGAUUUUCAGAACAAUGACUAAGGGAAAAUAUUUUUCCAGCAGGGUUUUUGCACAGGAAAAAUUUCAUUGCUUCCAUCCCUACAUCCCACACCCCACAUUCCAUACCCCUUGGUGUAAAAAUAUUUGUAUUUAAAUAAUUUUAAAUGUCAUGCAUUUCUAAUUAAAACCAAUUCUGUGCUCAGAAGAACAGAGAUUACUUACUUUAAAUCAAUGAAAAAAACUAAAUUUUCCUCAAAGGAAAAUUUCAUGAGAUUCAACGGUAGUUUAAGUGUAAUGAAUUUAAUCCCAUUGAUUACAAGUGGUCUCUGGUGAUUACUGAUGUCCCAGCUGCCUCCUGCAGCAGGAGUAUAUAGGACUCUCCAGAUAUUCUUUCCUUUAUCUCUUAUCCUUCCUACCUUUAAGUACCCAAGGACUGCUUUUGCACAAAAUAUUUCAGUUCCCUUGAGAACUGCCCUUCUUCUGUAAUACCACAGCCUAUUUCUUUAUUUUCUGCCCAGCCAGAAAACUGCAUUCCCUUGCCCACAGUGAUUGGUUCAGGAAUGGAAACAUCUGAAGACAAGUCAAUCAAAACCUAUAUCAAAGAAGUAGUAAAGAUGAGGAGGGGUAACUUCCUGAUGACUUUAUGGUACUCCCUGGAUUCCACUCUCCCUGUCAUGACUAAUUCCAUGUUUCAGAAACACCAGUCUACCUGUUGUUGUGGGUUUUGGGGGUCUUUUUGUUUCUUUUUUUUAUUGUGUCUGAUGCUUAUUUUUACAUAUGAUUACAUUUGUCUGUAGACUUUGGGUAAAGCAGAUUACUCUCCAUAAUGUGGGAGGCCCUCAUUUAAUCAGUUGAAGGCCUUAAGUUCAAAGACUGAAGUUUCCCAGAGUACUACAGAGUACAAUAUAGAACCUUGAUUGAGCCUAAUGCCCUGCAUAAUUUGGACUCAAGACUGUAACAUCAACUGUUAAUCUGAAUUUCCAGCCUGCUGGCCCACUCUGUAAGUUGCCCUUGUAAACACAAGUGAAUUCCUUAAAAUAUCACCCCUCAUGGAUUCUGUUUCUCUGGAGAACCCCAAUUAAUGCACUGACAAUGUACUUUAUCUUUGAAUUAUCCAAUGUCUUACUUUUGUGUUUGUUUUAGCUAGCUUGAAUAAAGUUUCCACCUGAAACUAAGAGUUGAACAGUCCAGAGUAUAAAUGGAUGGAGUCCCCUAUAGGUUAAUUUUUUUAUUGGUUGUUCAAAACAUUAUAAAACUCUUGACAUAUCAUAUUUCAUACAUUACAUAUACUGCAGUGCUAGAGAUCAGAUCCAGCAUGCUAAGCACAUGCCCUGCCUCUGAGCUAUACACCAGCCCUAAGCAAACAAUUUCUAUUCUGGCACUCCAGGCUUGGAACCUACUCUAGUGAGUUCUCUUUCCUUCUCCCAUAUUUUCUAGUUAGUUUUUAACCUAUUGCUUCCUUCUCCUUGAAGAGUAAAUAAACAAGAAACAAGAAUUAGAAACAACAGAAAAAGAAAGGAAGUAGAGAAAGAGUGUUUUUAAAUAACAGUGUUAAAAAUGACACAUGCAUUGUUUUCUCUGACAUAUAGAACGAAGAUAAACACAAAAAGUAAUUUUCUCAGGUUCCAGUUGUUUUUUAUCACUCAGACAGAAUGGUGCUCCAUAGAGCAUGAGGAACAUUGUGCUAUUGCAAACUCUCUGUACCAGAGCAGGAGGAAGCCAGUGCAUCUGACUCUUGCCAAAGACAGUUCUUCCAAGGGAACCUAGGGUGGCGGGAAUGGGGUUCUUUCAGGAGGCCAGUGAUUGUGUGUAGACAACUUGCCUAAGGGACCCUGACAACAGUCCCACAUGCCAUCUCUGUCAUGCUUGCUAUAGGUCAGACACCUACUCUUUUUUUCUUUUUCUUUCCACAUUUUUUUUAUUGGUAUGUAAUAGUUGUACAUAAUAAUGGGACUGACCUCUAAUCCUGAAAAUUUCCAGCAUGGUCCCUGGUUCGUGAAGAUUCGUGAGCACCAGGCUUGUUGCAGUGGGUAAUAGCAUGUAGCUCCUAUAUAGCCAAGUAAAUAAGUACCAUAUUAGAGGCCCAGCACCUACAUAAAACAUACAGAUUCUAAAAAAAAAAAAAAAAAUUAAAGUUUUAAAUGAAUUAACAAUGUUACUACUACUGAUACUUGACAUAUUACUAAUAAAUCAGUAGGAAAUUUGGGAAAAGAUGAUGAAAAUUUUAUGGGCCAGAAAGAAUAUAUUUUGUCCAGAUCUCAUUGGAAAUCACAGACAUUUCAUGAGUUUUCCUCUGAUUCUUCCAGACCUGCCAAGGAGAAAAUAAAAGGUUAUCCCAGAGCUUCAGCUUUUCUCUCAUCUACUUGAUGCCAAGUAGUAAAAUGAGAGAAAAUGGAAUUCUCACCAUAUUUGAAUCAUAUAAGUCAGAGGUUUGGCUUUAUAAAAAUCCAGCCUGUCUUUUGCACUUACCAUACAAAGUUAUUGUAUUACCAUAAAAGUGACUGGUUUUCAUUUCUCUCUCUGUGUGUUUGUAUAUAAUAUAUAUAUAUUUAUUAUAUAUAAUAUAUGCAUAUUUAUUAUAUAAAAAUAUUCUGUGUAAGUGUAUAUAUAUAUUUAUAUGUAAAUGAGAAACCAAAAACAUUUAUGGUAAUCUUCAUUAAUAUUAAAAUAAUGGAGAAAAGAUGAGUAUAGCAUGAUUUUUAUACAUCUGAUUUAAUGCUAAAAUAAAAAUCUACUUAAAAUGGGCCCAACUCCUGGCCUACUGUGUCCAAAAAAUGUUAUUUGAAAUAAAUUGUACUCUAUUAACAAAACAAAACCCACCACUUGUAAUAUUUUUCUGUUUUUCGGAGCAAAAUACAAGUCAAGAUAAGAUGUAUACUGUGAAGAAGACUAUGUCCCUAAGCUUCAGAUUAAACUAUAUUAAUUUCUAGCCACUCUUUUUAUAUAUAUAUAUACAUUUAUUUAUUGAUGCCUAGGAUGGAACCCAGUGCCUCACACAUGCUAGGCAAGGGCUUCACGACUGAGCUACAAUCCCAGCCCCUCUAGUCACUCUUUAGAUAUGAGGUUUGCUCAUAAGGUUAUUUGGUAAAGUCAGUAUUGUAUGCAAACUACAAUUUGCAGGUAGUAAAAUGCUUUAUGCCUGUGUGACAACAUUGUAAAAUGGAUCUAGAUAACUUCAAAAUGCAAACAAAAAAUAGUUGCUCUAAUAACUAGUUUAAUUUGAGAACUGGAGUAAAAUAUAACUUUUUCUCCUAAAAUGUGUUUUCCAUGGUGCAUCAAAGCAGUUUGCAAAGCUUGGGGGGAAGAAAAAAAUACCACCUGAUACAAUAUUCAGUGGAAGGCCAGCAGUGCUACAAGUUAUGAAAACAAUGAAUGGAUCACUAACAUUCUUCAAGGUAAAGGCUCGAAUCAUUGACAAUAUACCACAGAGAAGCAGUUAUCAAUUACAGUUUAAAAUAAUAUGUGUAAAAUUGGCUUGCUUUGGAAUAAGAUCAAUUUCCUAAAAAACACUUGUAAGCAUCUUUGACUAAAUUCCAUAAAUAGAAUAAUUUCUAGAAUAAAUAUAUGGAGAAAGAAUCAUUUUCUAUUCUCUCUCUCUCUCUCUCUUCUCUUCUCUUCUCUUAAAUCUCACUAAAGGUCCUCAAUCCAGAGGAAAGCAGUGGUUUUCAAUGGGGGGUUUUUAGCACCCCACCCUCCAGACAUUUGGAAACAUCUAGAAACAUUUUUUGUUGACACAUGGAAGUGAGGACAAGGGUAAAAGGAAGGUGCUACUGGUAUCUAGUAGGAAGAGGUCAGGGAUACCGCUAAACAUCCUAUAAUGCACCAGCCAGUCCCACAACAGAAUUAUCUGGUUGCAAAUAUCAAUAAUUCAGAGACUGAGAAACACUGGUCUAAGGGUACAACAGCCCUUUGAAACCCACAUAAACUGGGGGAAUUGCAGAUUAGCAGGUAUAGCAAAGAAAUUCAAUUUUCAAAUUGGAUGUGUGAGGAAAUCUCAGAACUGUUUUGAUUCUUUGCCCUACCCCAUCUUCUCAAGUAAAAUUCUAAAAGAAACAUUAUGGUAAAUAAUCAGAAGGAUUGUCUAUUUUAUGCCACAGUUUUUCAAAGUGUGGCCUGUGCCUUAGCCUGGGAUUUCUGGCAAUCAUAGUAGACACUCUGUUAGUUUUCUCCUUGGUCCUGAAAGUUCUUACUGUAUAUUUUAAAGAUGAAUGCUGCAUGACAUUCUCUAUUCCACAUCAUUCAAUUGCAUUUUUUGUUUUAUUUGGGUUUUUAUUUGUUUUUUCUUUCUCAUUCUCCAAGCCCUCGUUUAAGACAGCAUGUAAUUUUCAGGUAACAAGUUUCAAGAAAAUUGUUUUGUGGAUAAUAAUGGAGACUUUAUGAUUCACAAGCUCUAGGGGACUUCAGUAUAAUUUUAUUUUCACAAACUAAGAGUCAGUUAUGGCAAGUAACUUUCCAUUCUUGAAAACCAUAUAGCACAUUUCUAUUCCCCAGCCAGUUGCCUGUCCUGCCUACCAGAGCUCUGAACUGACUGUGCUCAUGACCUUAGUCUUUUUCAGGGAGCCCACCACUCCUUUAUGAACAGGUCUACUGUGGUCAACCAAUUGAGGAGGGUUUACCUCAAUUAAAAUGCCAGAGGCUUUCAAAGUACAGCUGUUAGAUACUAGAAAAGUUAGUUAUAGCCAGGCACGGUGGCUCACACCUGUAAUCCCAGCAACUCAGUAGGCUGAGUGAGGAGGAUCACAAGUUCAAAGGCAGCCUCAGCAAUUUAGCAGGACCAUAAGCAACUUAGGAACACCCUGUUUCAAAAUGAAAAAUAAGAAGGCUGGGAAUGUGGCUCAAUAGUUUAGAGCCUCUCAGUUCAAUCCCUGCUACCAAAAAGAAAAAAAAAAGAUAUUGGUACCAAGCAAGACAUUUUAAGCAGAUAAAACACCAUUUAGCAAAACUACCUGCCAGCCAAACAAACAGAAUGCAAGAGAAAACCUAGCAACAAUCCAUACAAUUAACCUGUACAAAAUGACACAAUAUCUUUUAUAACAGUCAAAUCAUAGAAAGCAGGCUGGGGGUGUGGCUCAGUGGUAGAGCAGUUGCCUGGUAUGUGUGAGGCACUGGGUUUGGAUCCUCAUCACCACAUAAAAAUAAAUAAAUAAAAAUAAAGGUAUUCAGUAAAGUAGCAGGAUAUAAAAUCAAUACCCGUAAAUCAAAGGCAUUUCUGUAGAUCAAAUCCUCUGAGAAGGAAAUGAGGAAAACUACCCCAUUUACAAUAACCUCAAAAAAAGAAAAACGAUACUUGGGAAUCAACAAAAGAGGUCUUGGAUAGGCAGAAUUAAUAUUAUCAAAAUGACCAUACUACCAAAAGCACUAUACUGAUUUAAUGCAAUUCUGAUCAAAAUUCCAAUGGUAUUCCCCAUAGAAAUAGAAAAAGCAAUCAUGAAAUUCAUCUGGAAAAAUAAGAGACCCAGAAUAGCUAAAGCAAUCCUUAGCAGGAAGAAUAAAGCAGGUGGCAUCACUAUACCAGACCUUAAACUAUACUACAGAGCAAUAGUAACAGAAAUAACACGGUAUUGGCACCAAAACAGGUAGACCAAUGGUACAGAACAGAGGACACAGAGACUAACCCACACAAUUACAAUUAUCUUAUAUUAGACAAAGGUGCCAAAAACAUGCAUUGGAGAAAAGAGCUUCUUCAACAAAUGGUGCUGGGAAAACUGGAAAUCCAUAUGCAACAAAAUGAAAUUAAACCUCUAUCUCUCACCAUGCACAAAACUCAACUCAAAGAGGAUCAAGGACCUAGGAAUUAAAUCAGAGACUCUGCAUCUAAUAGAAGAAAAAGUAGGCUCUAAUCUUUAUAAUGUGGGUUAGGCCCCAGCUUCCUUAAUAAGACUCCUAUAGUGCAAGAAUUAAAAUCAAGAAUCAAUAAAUGGGAUGGACUCAAACUAAAAAGUUUCUUCUCAGCAAAAGAAACAAUCUGUGAGGUGAACAGAGAGCCUACAUCCUGGGAGCAAAUUUUUACCUCUCACACAUCAGACAGAGCACUAACCUCUAGGGUAUAUAAAGAACUCAAAAAGCUAAGCACCAAAAAAACAAUAACCCAAUCAACAAAUGGGCCAAGGACCUGAAUAGACACUUCUCAGAAGAUGAUAUACAAUCAAUCAACAAAUAUAUGAAAAAAUGUUCAUCAUCUCUAGUAAUUAGAGAAAUGCAAAUCAAAACUACUCUAUCAUCUCACUCUAAUCAGAAUUCUAUUAUUAAGAAAAACAACAAUAAGUGUUGGCGAAGAUGUGGGGGAAAAGGUACACUCAUACAUUGCUGAUGGGACUGCAAAUUGGUGCAGCCAAUAUGGAAAGCAGUAUGGAGGUUCCUUGGAAAUCUGGGAAUGGAGCCACCAUUUGACCUAGCUAUCCUACUCCUUGGUCUAUACCCCAAAGACUUAAAAACAGCAUACUACAGGGACACGGCCACAUCAAUGUUUAUAGCAGCACAAUUCACAAUAGCUAAAUUGUAGAACCAACCUAGAUGCCCUUCAGUGGAGGAAUGGAUUAAAAAAGUGGCAUAUAUACACAAUGGAAUUUUAUUCCGCAAUAAAAGAGAAUAAAAUCAUGGUAAAUGGAUGGCACUGGAGAAGAUAAUGCUAAGUGAAGUUAGCCAAUCCCCAAAAACAAAUACCGAACGUUUUCUCUGAUAUAAGGAGGCUGACUCAUAGAGGGGUAGGGAGGGGGAGCAUGGGAGGAAUAGAUGAAUUUUAGAUGGGGCAGAGAGGUGGGAGGGAAAGGGAGGGGGUAGGAGAUUAGCAAGGAUGGUGGAAUGUGAUGGACAUCAUUAUCCAAAGUACGUGUAUGAAGACACGAAUUGAUGUCAACAUACUUUAUAUACAAGCAGAGAUAUGAAAAGUUGUGCUGUAUAUGUGUAAUAAGAAUUGUAAUGCAUUCUGCUGUCAUUUAUUUUUUAAAAAAAUCAAUAAAAAAGGUAUUGUGUUCAUUUACAACUAAAAAAAACAUAGGGAGCUAGGGCCAGAUAGAACAUUUUAUACUAUUUAGGUGCACUACUGAGUAAACUCUUUCUGGGGUUUUAUUUUUCUCUCUUGCUUUAUUUUUGUGAUGAAGAAAUGAAAUAAAGACUCAGUGAAGGCAAACAACUUGGCCAGACUCAUCCAGGGAAAGAAUCAAAGUUAAAACUGGGAAUACAGAUUUUUCUUCUUUAUGUAUAAAGGGCCCAAAGCACAAAGACUAUUUUAUUCAUAGACUUUCCCAUUUUUUCCCCAGUACUUCUUUUUCUCACCUUUCUCUCUUAGCUCAAAUUCCCAACUCCCUGGAUAAACUAUUUUGGAAAUUAGAAAACUUUCUUUUAAUGCAAAUAAUGCCUUUUUUAAAAACUUGUAAACACCCACAACAUUUUUAUGCUUAGUGACUUCAUGCCAACUAUGUAUAUUCAUGGUGUAUUGGGAUCUAUAAAUGUCAUUUGUAUAUUCAUAUACAUUUGCAUCGCAGAUUUCCAAAUCUAGUUGUUUUCCCUCCCCUUCCUGAGAGACAGGCACACCCCUGACAUUUUGGUAGCCAAGCUUUAAAUACAAUUCAAUUAUGGGAAUUUGAAUUGGAUACAAGUUAUGGCAAAGGACAAAAUAUAUUUCUUGAUAGUUUCCUUCCAGUAAUAUUCAUCAUCUUUUACUAGAAAAGAUUAACAGAGAAGUACUCAGUGUAUCUCUGGAAAUGAAGGAGAUUUUGACCUAAAUAAAAAUAAGCACUAUUUAAGACUUGACAAACUGCUAGCGAAUUUUUUUCUCCUGUUCUACAGAGGGUCCCUGGCACAGGGCAUAGUUACAGCUGCUGAUAGGAAUGUCUAUGCAAACCUUAUUCUGUACUUCCUAUAAUCACCACCUAAAAUAUGUAAGUUAAGCACCCAACCUAAUUUAUUUUAAUGCUCAUCUUCAUACUUUAAAAUAAGCAUUAUUUCUUGGCAAGUGUGCUUGGCAAGUUUUCUAUUUAAAGUGCAUAUAUAAUAUGAUGCCAAUUUUUAAAAACGUGUGUGUGCAUAUAGGCAAAAAGACUAUUUGAAUACUUACCAAAAUGAUAACAAUUAUUUUCUUGCAGUGGUAGGGCUUUUCUUUAUAGUUAUCUGCUGUAUUUAAUUUUUUUUAGUUAUACAUGGAUAUAGUAUCUUCAUUCCACUUAUUUAUUUUUAUAUUGUGCUGAGGAUCAAACCCAAUGCCUCACAUGUGUGAGAGGCAAGCACUCUGCCUCUGACUUCCAGCCCCAGCCCUAUCUGCUGUAUUUUUUACAAAGCUUAUUUAUUUCUUUAAUAUUCAGAAAAAGUAUUAAGCACAAAAUGUUUAUAACAAUUUAUCAAACGGCACUCUUUGUCCCUCUGAUUCACUGGAAUUUGCACAGUUCUAUUUAUUUAAUAAAUAUUUAUUGAAUGCCUACCAUGUGCAAGGCCCUGUGCUAAUAGCUGUUAGAUAAAUAGUAUUGAUGUUUCAUUAGGACCAAAGAGUGCAUAUUAUUAGGGCUGGGGUCAUAGCUCAGUGGUAGAGCACUUGCCUAGCAUGUAUGAGGCACUGGGUUUGAUUCUCAGCACUGCAUAUAAAUAAAAUAAAAUAAACGUCCAUUGAUAAGUUAAAAAAAAAAGUGCCUAUUAUACCCUUAUAGCUAUUUUCCAGGAGCUCUGGAUACAGGGGAGAAGAAGACAAUCUCUCUGACUCCAGGAGCUUAUAUACUAUAAAUAUGUAAAAUAAGUAAUAAGUAAUAGUCAUCAUGAUGUUUGUUAUGAAGGUGAUACAGUAAUGCCAGAUUUGUGGGACCCCAGUAGACCUCCAGGAGCAGAAUCUGAUGCAAUCACACAAGAGUCUUUAUUGCAAACUCGAGCCUGGACUCACAACCAUUCCAACACAGGAGCGGUCCCAGGGAAUGAGUCCUGGUCCUUUGUUCAGUGAGAUUUUAUAGGUAUUUGGAGAUGCUCUAUGCAUCACAACAUCACACAGCAAAUCAUUUCAGACCUCGGGAAAAUCAAACUACAACUCUUAACAUUGAUUAGCACAUUCACUGGCUGGAACAAGUUGGGUAGGGGUGAUUGGUUAGUACAAGAGGGGGAUUCCUUUGAACUGAUUGGUUUAAGUCACGAGCGGUGUAUGUACUAAACUACAUGGUUUCCCAACAUGUUAUCAAUCACCAUAAAUUACUGGGGGGUUAUCUGGCAUCCCAGGUAUUUUCCCUGUCUCAUGCUGAUUGGUAGUUGCUAGGGGGUUGCUAUGGGUCCUCACCUAGCCUAACUGAGUCAGGGACACCUAGAGUCUAAGAUCUCUCCUGUUAUUUGCAGACAAACAACUCAGCAGGGUGGGUAUGUGCUUAGGAGUGCUCUGUGGGUUUUUCCAAGGACAAGGGUCACACCCCCUUCCUUGGACAGGCUUUGAGGUAGAAGCUUUUUUCAAAAAUGGAGUCAUAUCAGUUUUUCAAUACUUUGGGGUCAUGUCCCAGAUGGUGACUGGGAGGGUAUAGCUGCCUUAGCUGGGGUAGUCAUGGAAGGCCUCACUGCAGAGAUCACAUGUGGAUGGAGGCCUGAAUACUAGGAGGCAAUUUGUGAAGUUAGGCUGUUAAGCAGAAGGAACAGCAAGACAGAAAGACCAAGGUGUAUAUUCAAGCAAUAAAUUGGACAAAUAAAAGACUGUAGCAGAGGGCAGAGAAUAAAGAAAAGUAAGCAGAAGCUAACAGGGCAGCCUGCAGGCCAUGAAAGAGAGUUUAGAUUUGAUUCUCAUUGCCCUGGGAAGUCGUCAGUAAGUUAUUAGUAAGAGAAGUGACAUUGCCUAGUUUACAUUUGAUAAAGAUCCCUUUGUGGGAGACAAGGGUGUAGACAGGGAUACCAGUUAAAUGCUGUUGAGGAUGCAGAGGAUGAUAGAGGAGAGGAAUACUAAAAACUCAUAUUGGGGAAAAGCCUCAUGAUUGGGGACCGAAAAAAAGUGGAGGAAAGCUAAGUGGUAAAACACUUGCCUAGCAUGCAUGCAGCCCUGGAUUCAAUCCCCAGCACCACAAAACGAAAACAAAUGAACAAAAACACAAUGGCAGAGGUUUUGUUCUUCCCUUAAGUAGCUACCUUUCUCUUUCAACUUCUGUCUAAUGGAGUAGGAUUGAGAUUAUUAACUAUAUCUCAGUAUCAAUUCUCCUUUAUUAUUUAGAGUUCCCUAAAUUAUAGCUAGACACAGGGCCAUUUGAUUAUAAACUACAUUUCCCAGCUGUCCUUGCAACGAGGAGUGAUCUCAUGUAUAAGUUCAAACCAAUGGGAAAUAAACAGGAGUAAUGUGUACUGCUUCUAGGUUAUCUCCUUAAGGACACAGACAAAAGAAAAGACUUCACGCAUCCCUUAGGCUGGAAAUCAGACAGAGUGCUAACCCAGCUUUGACCGGAAUGUCACUGUCCAUCAUGGUGGAACAGCCAGAUACAGGGACCAGUUUCCCUGAAUGACCUCAUAGAACACAAUCUGCUAGAUGACCGCCAAUGCUCACCUUCUAUCUGUAUCACAUGGGAAAAAUUAACUUCCCCUUUUUUAGAGUCAUGGCACAUGUGUGGUGCAUUCUAAACAUGGCGCAUUGUUUAGAACCACUUAUCCUAUAUCCAGUGUAGGGUAAUGUGGGGAAGCCAAUGGAAACAUUUAAACAAAGAAGCUAAGGCAUGGCAGGUGGCUGAUUUGUGGUUUUAAAAAGAUAAAUAAAAAAUUCUUCUUUUCAGUGCCCUUUUGCCCAAGAUGGGAAGAAGACACAGCCAACCAAGAGAAAAACCAUCUUCAUACUAACCUAGUCAGAAGCUCUGAGGCAUAUCCAAGACUUGGAAGAGUUUUGACCCCCAGCUAAGAUUCAGAAUGCAUAAUAAAGGAACACUCUAGUCUUGAACUCUGUAUAACAUUAAGUUUGUGAUAUGCUGAUUAAAAAGAAACAGAAAGAUAACAAAUUGUUUUCUUUACUCCUCUAUUUUUAAGAAACUUUACAUAUAAUUACUCUUAAUGAAGCAGUAUGCCCUUUCUAUACAAAUAUGCAAAAUAUACCAAGCUUUAAGUCAAUCAAACACAUUUGUACACCAGGCUUUGUGGC